rnacentral:lncRNA from 1 species
GGUGACCAAUUUCUUGUAACUAAAUGUAUGAUGUGAUGCAGGAAGCAGGGCAGGGCAUGAAGAGAGAAGCUUAUUAGAGGAAGGAUUGCCAGUAACAGAAUCCAAAGAAAAAAGAAACCAUUUCGAGGCAGCAGUUGGCAGUUGGCAGUGAAUGGAGCCCCUUGAAAAAUUCCCCAAGCCGUUGCACUGCAAUUACGAUCAUCCUCGGCCUCAGGUAAUUUCUUCUCCUGCAUUUUUGUUAUUUGCUAUCAAGUGACUAUUUUAAGUAUGAUUGCAUUAAGCUGCUGCUGGGAAAUUUGAGGUUUUGAUGACUGCCCAUGCUAUUGUCAGAAGCUGCGGUUCUUUUCAUCAGCCUGAACCUGGACCUGCCGCUAUGGAUAACUCAGGUUUUUUUUUUUUAAUCAACAGCCAUCUUUUCCACUGUUUAGAAACUCUUAAGAUUAAACUUUAGUAAAGUUGUUUUAGUUAUCCAUGUAAUCAGGCUGAGGAUACUUAGCUGCCUAUUUAGGCAAAUGUUAGAAUUUAGUUUGUUUGCUGGGAACUGGUGUGGACUGGCAAAGGAUGAUGAGAUAGUUUUUUGAGUGAGUAAAUUUUGGGAGCUUGAGUGUAUUGGGAUUUGCAAUUACAAUCAUCGUCUGCCUCAGGUGAUUUCUUCUCCUGCUCUGUCAUUGUUUGUUCUCUAAUUCAAAAGCAUAAAAUAUUUCAAUCAAUUUUUAUGCCAGGAAUAUGCAAAAGUUUCUAAUAUUUUAUUUCCAUCUGUUACAAGAUCAAACUGAAGCAGAACUCAAACAAAAGUAUGCUACUUCUUGCGGAAAUCUUGCCUUUGUUCAGAUUAUGAAACCAUUUCCAGGCAGCAAAUUCAUCCAAAAGUUUGAAUAAGUUUCAUGGUUGGACACUGUUGCCUUCUUUUUCUUCUGGGGUGCAUUUAGGUGCUAUCAAGUGACAGCUGUAAGUAUGAUUGCACUAAGCUGCUGCUGGGAAAUUUGAGGUUUUGAUGGCUGCCCAUGUUAUUUUCAAGAAACUAUUGAUGUAAGAAGCUGUGGUUCUUUUCAUCAGCUUGAACCUGAAACUGUCGCUAUGGAUAACUCAGGUUUUUGUUAUCAACUAUAUCAUCUUUUUCACUAUUUUGAAACUCUUAAGAUUAAACUUUAGUAAAGUUGUUUCAGCUAUUCAAAUGAAAAACUCAUUGAUUUGAGACUGACUUCAUUAUUGUUUCUAAUUACAAUGCUAACGAUCCAGAUAAAAUAAUAUUUAAUCGGCGAAGGUGUCCCUUGGAAGUACAUCCUUCUUUUUCUUUUAUUAUAUAAAUUCUUGCAAUGAGCUUAGUGAAGCUGUUGUGCUAAUCAUGCCACUGCAUAAUUUGGCCCCUAAUGUGGGUACUCUGUUACAUUGUUCUGCAAAUUCUCCAGAAGUUAAAAUCAAUAAAUUUUCUAUUAGCUCUAGUGCUUUGACCUAAAUGCCAUUCUAUAUUUUGAUUACAAUGUUUUAACCUUUAAAUUAACUACCCCUAGAUGUUGGAUUUUCUAGAACUUCAAAAUGAUUAAUGGAGAAAGAUCCCAUUAUCGUUAUUGCUAUAAGAAAUUGAUUUAUGCAUCCAAAGAUACAUUAUAUAUUUCUGUGUCUCUAUUUGUAGAUGACAUUUAAGCAUCCAUAAACCGUCAGACAGAGGAAGGGGGUUCAGUGCAAAGAUUCUGUUGACCUAGGGUUGACUGCAUAAUGUCACUUGUUCGCAAUCUAUUAUUUAUUUUAUAUUUUGAAGAAUUUAAUGGGUAAUCCUAAUUGUUUGUUUUGGCAGGUAUGUGUUGUUAUCUCCUUCUAUCUAACAGUCGUACCUAAAUAGCAUAGUUUCAUCUGCGUUACCAUGUGAUGUACAUAAUUUCACAUUUGCCUCAGAUUAAGCUUAAUUUCCCACAGAAUAGAGCUGUCGCGACUGGACUUUUUGAUGUCCAAAGAGGUAAAUUAUUGGCAUGCCUAGAUAAUUUGGCCAUUUCCUAAUUCAUAAGUCUACAUUAAUUUUGAUUUUGAGUUGACUGAUUUCUUUUCAAGGUCUGCUUCCUUAACGGAGUGACCAAUGUUUUUCAACUAAAUUUAUCAUAUGAUGCAGGAAGCAGGGCAGGAUAUGAAAUGAGAAGCUCAUUGGUGGAAGUAUUGCCAGUAGCAGAACCCAAUGAAAAUGAAACUAUUUCAAGGCAGCAGUCGGCAGUUGCAAGUGAAUGGAGGCCCUUGACAAAAUUCUCAAGCGAUUGCAAUGCAAUUACGAUCAUCCUCAGCCUCAGGUAAUGUCUUUUAUUGGUACCCAACAAAAAUGCAAGGUCUGUGAGAAGACAGUUUGUCCAGUUGAGCAGUUAUCUACUGAUGGGGUUGUUUAUCACAAGUCUUGCUUCAAGUGCUCUCACUGCAAAGGCACACUCAAGCUAAGCAAUUACUCAUCCCUGGAAGGUGUUCUUUACUGUAAGCCUCACUUUGAGCAGCUUUUGAAGGAGUCGAGUAACUUCAACAAGAAUUUCCAAUUACCUGCAAAGUCAGCUGAGAAGUUAACUCCUGAGCUGAGAAGGUCGCCUAGCAAAGUUGCCAGCAUGUUCUCUGGGCCCAAUAAAAAUGUGCUUCUUGCAGUAAAACAGUGUGUCCGUGGGAGAAGGUAGCAGCGGAAAACCAAGCCUCUCACAAGACAUGUUUCAAGUGCUCACAUGGUGGUUAUUCCAUUAGCCCGUCAAAUUACGCAGCCCUAGAAGGCAUCUUGUAUUGCAAACAUAAUUUCUCCCAAUUGUUCAAGGAAAAAGGCAGCUACAACCACCUUAUAUCAAAUCUGCUUCCAUGAAGCGUGCUGCAGUCUCUGUUCAAGAAGCUUGAACAUGUUAUGUUAUCUUCCAUAAAUCUUAUUUGGCGUGGGUUUUCUCUGGCUUGAGGGUGUGCUGCUUUCUAUUUUGAUCCCUCUUGUUUUUUUUGCGGGGAACUACCAAACCUUCGGUUCCCUCUGCUUCUUUGGAUCAUCUUUGUUGGGACAAAUUUCAUGUAAUUAGAGAUACUGAUUUAUGGGAGGCAUAAUCCCAUGGUCGUAAAUUGACCAUUUUCUGGCAAUGUUCUUUUUAAAAAGAGAUGAGCAGUUGUUUAACAAAAAAAAUAUUCGGCCUUCAUCAUUGUAUGUUACCAAACUGCUAUGUAUAGCUGCUAACUAUGAGCAUCCGAAAAUAUGGUGCAUCGUGAUUCAUGUAGUGCAAUAUGGCUACCAACGCAUCCUAAAUGGAGUAUUACUCAGUUAGUCAGCAAAAUAAGACAACAUAACAGAUAUUAAAAAAAAAACUACAUUAAUAAGUGGGCAAGAUCAUGCCAGUUUAACUUUUCGCGCGUCGCUGCUGGAGAUAAUCAAAUCGGGGCAGAGAAAAGGAGAAUGGAAUCAGAGGCUAAGAUUAAUAAGUGGGCUUCUGCUUGCUUUGCGCCUCUUUCUUAAACGAUUGGUAGACUGCUGCUUCCACCGAUUAACCGGGACUUCAACCACUGCUUUUACUGCCUGCCAUCUUGUUGUUUGUCGAAGGGAUGAAUUCAAGUCGAAAAGAGAAAGCGCGCUGAAAAAGAUAAAUCACUAGUGGUUAACUGCUGACUCAGCCAAGUGUUGGCUUCACUUGAUUCACCGAUUGAGGUUAUUUUGUCUUCUAUCUAAUGCAGCGAAGAAGCUUUGCUGCUUAACAUGCUGCAAUGCAACUUUAUCCUUUGAAGUUCACACUCCAGGGCUGCGCACUUUAUGUAAUCCUAUGAGUAAAAAGAAUUUGUUUUCAAAUGUGAAAAAAGAAAAUGUAAGGUAGUAACUAAAUAUAUUAUAGCAUCAAAGCAAGAUUUGAUAUGAAUUUAGUACAACAAAGAACAUCAAAUCUGUGAUUCCUUGUCUAAUGUCACCAUCGAGCAACAAAUUUAAAAGCCUACCUAUCAAAUACACGAGGCAAUAAACGGAGAAAAAGUUGAAUUACAAGAACAAGUUUACAAUUCUUGUCAAUGGUUAAUGAUUUGUGAACUGCAUAGCAUUCAAGAAUCCAAUUUCAAUACAACAACCUAAAAGAUAAACAGAUGAUGAAUUUUAUGAGAUAAAGAAGGAGAUCGUGUUUUAUCGUAUCUCUAUUUUCUUUCUUUUUAAAUUUAAAAUAAGCUUUUCAACCGGUUUGGUAACUGGUUAUAAUAUUUUUUAAAAUAAUUAAAUAUUUUCAUUAUUAAAAAUAAUGUGUACCGUUGAUUACAUCUAACGGUACAUAUUUCUUACACUACUAAUACCGUAAAAAAAAAAAGGCAUCAUAGAAGGACCCUUAAAACAUUUUCAUUUGAAAUUAUUUGGUGUAGUCAAAAAGUUAAGAAAGAAAUAGUUGUCCCUUUGGUCAUUUCACAAAAAUGAAAGCCCCAUAUAACAUGGACUUGAAUGGAAGCCCAAUUGUUUGUGUUUGAUUUCAAGCUUUAUCGGACCUUUGGACCUGGAUACUUUACUGCGGCCUCUAAGCCCUAUAAAUUUUUUUUUGGGAUAAAAGGUGCUUCAAUGAAAAAGCACUUUAAAACUUUGGAUUUUGCCAAAACUUCAAAGCGGUUGGUCCAGUUACGGUGUGUUAUGCUAACGGGUUUAAAGGUUCCGAUCCAAUGAGUUAGGGUGGAAUAUGAAUAUAUAAAUUCCAUAGCAUGUAAGGACUAGGAUUUGUUUGUUCAUAUCAAGAAAAAAAAUCUGAAAAUUUGAUGAUCAGAAGAUAAAAACACUUAAACACGUUUAUUACAGAGAAACAAACGACAACAUGAUACUAGUAGUAGUUAUUCUUUUCAUCCGAUAUAUUACAUGGUAAUAUCACUACUCGUUCCACUGGUUUCAUAUACACCAUCGAUCAGCAACAUGAUAAUUUUGUGUCAGUUCAUUUUGUUUGUAGGAAAGAGCAGUGUAUUUAUAAUAAAAAGAUUUUAAAAUAUAAAUUGCAUAUUUGUUUAUUACUGUUGUUUGGUCUAAUUUCUUAUGUAGAAUUGCUUGUCAUUCUUUGGACGUUAUUGGUUAUAUUUUUGUCAGACUUGGCGUAUAUAUUCACAUACAUUUUAUUUUGUCAUUUUUUAGAACAUUUUUACACGCCAUAUUAUCACUACUCUUCUCUGUCUGAAUAAGAAGAAAGCAUCAACGGAGGUGUAUUACCACUGUUUCUUACUCAGUUAUCAUCAACGGAGUACCAAGAGGCUUGAUUUUUCCUGAAAGAGGACUUAGGCAAGGGUGUCCACUCUCCCCAUACCUGUUCCUUUUAUGUGCUGAGGUCUUUUCCAGCUUGCUGUCCCAGGCAGAAAGAAAUUAGCAAAUUAAGGGCUUGAGAUUCACUAAAGAUGUUACUAUCUCCCAUCUCCUCUUUGCGAAUGAUAGUCUAAUUUUCACAAGAGCUGCAGUGGCUAAUUGCAAGCAUCUAAAAGGUCUAUUUGAUACUUAUGCGAAGGCAUCGGGGCAUAUUUUUAACUUUGAAAAGUCAUCUAUGUUUUUCAGUGGUAAAAUUUUUUAGGGGCAGAUUUCAGCGAUCAAGAGUAUCUUCAAGCUUAAGGUGGUUCCUGUUGUGCAAAUUUUAAUGAACUCGCAAGCGCACGAAUCUAUUGUAGUAUAGAUCAAUGGUGACGAGUGUCGAUCCCACGAGGAGGUGGAUUUUAAUUAUAUGUAGAAUUAAUUUUGUAAAUGGGUGGUUGGAAUUGUAGUGGAAAUGAUUUGGAAUAUGCUAAAACUUAAAUUAAAAUGGCGAGAAUAAAUUAUGAAAUUGGAAUUGCAAUGGCGAGAAUAAAUUGAAGUGAAAUCUAUUGAAAUAACGUACUUGGGUAUCCGGAUCCGUAUCAACAUGCAUCAUGGGCUAAAUAAUCCGUAUUAAUGCCAAUUAAAUCAUGAGGGGGGAAUCCACACCUCAUGAACCACGCUCUAAUCAAUAUGGUGCUAAGGGCUUAUCGUGCCAAAUAAUAAUAACCUUAUACUAGAGAGCCGGUGUAACCAAGGCGGUAUCUAGACAAGAUUACUAUUAUUUGUCGACGAAAAGUCAAAACAUCCACAAAAACUAGAGGGGAAGAGAAAAUAAAUUUACCAAAUUAAGCCCAUGAAAAUAAUCCUGUGUGAUGCAUGCACCGUACGCGAAAUUUUUCGUCCACUGAUAUGCUGCCACGUCACCAUCAACAGUACAUAAGAAUUUUAGUCCAACAGGAUCGUGACACCUCAUCAGUCAAUGCCACAUCAUCGGUCAAUGCCACGUCAUCGAUCCGUCUAUGUGAACAGUGUCGUGAACAGUAACGUAGACAGUACCGUAUACGUGAAUAGUACCGUACAUGUGAAUAGUGCCAUUUUUCCUUUUAUGCUCCUCCUAAGGUUUUCGACCGUCCUGAGUUCAAAAGUGAUGUCCGUUUUGCUGUCUGAUCUCUCCUUUAUUGUGAAAUGACUAUAAUGCCCCUAAAAUACAUAAAAUACUUAAUUAAAAUAACACACACGUAAUUACAUCACAAAAAGGUUAAAUACAUAAAAGUAAGGGUUGUUAGUAAGACUUGAAAUGUAAAAUGAUGGUUUUCUCCUUUAUAAAUAUGCAUUUUCUAAUACUCAACACACCCCCCAACCAGCUUAUUGCUAGUCCCUAGUAAAUAAAGCGAAAACAAAAUUCAAAUUCAAAAUAUUUUUUUAGAAACACUCGUGUUUAUUCAAUCAGAUUAAUGAUAGCAAUCAAAUAAAAGUAUAAGCAUUAUCUCCAGUCUAAAGCAAUAUCACACCCAUAUCAACCAUCCACAUGAAUCGGCCCAGUAGACUUUGUUAUAGCUACUUUCAAGAAUGACAUGUUAAACCCCAAAAUCUCACUGGAAGUAGUGACACUCUCACAAAGAAAUUAAAACCCAAUAAACAUAGUCACUCCAAUGAAUAGUAAUUGAGAGAGAAAAUAAUAAAGAAAUGAUAUCACAUGCUCUCACCAAGAUGAAAUAAAUAUGCCCUCAGCUUAGAAAUAAUACGAUCUCAAGUCAAAUAAAAUGUUAGUCAACCCACUUUAUUUAUCUUCUUUUUUUUUUUAUUAUUAUGCAUCACUACAUCUUUUUAGCCCAUAUAACUAGCUUCUACUUCAAACUAUAGUUCCCUAAAAUCAAGAAGGACUUUUAUUAGGACGUAACGUAGGCUAGGGAUAUGGCUAACAAAGAAAGGAAAUAAGGAAAACAAAGUGUAUGUUUGAGAAAAAUGCAGAAAUAUAUAUAUAUAUAUAUAUAUAUUUUUUUUUUUUUUUGAAGUUGCAAGGUGGAUUUCACCUAUUAUUGUUAUUUUAUUCUUUUGAAACAACAACUUUUGUUUUUUUGUUUUUUUUUUAUUUUUUGUUUUUUUUUUUGCUUUUAUUUGGCAUAACUUCACUGAACAACAUAAUUAUUUACAUUUUCUCAAACAUAAAUAGGUGAUGGAACUUAUAAGACAUCGAGUAAUACUCCAAAUCGGAGUGAGUCAAGAUGAUAAGUUGACAAAGAAAAGGUUUUAUUUAUUUAUUUUUUUUUAAAGGCUCAAAAGGGGUAACUAUGGAUAUUUAAUAAAAGGGAUGGCUAGAAAGGCUCAAACGGAUCAAAGAUGGCCUUUCCAUCGUCUUUUAGGGCUCUAAAUAAUUAUCCAUAUCUACUAGUUAGAUGGGCCUCCCAAUGUAGCAACACACAUUUUUUUUUUUUUUUUUUAAUUUUACCAUUUUUUUUAAAGGGUUAACUCAAAAGAAAUCUAGAGAUCGUGUAUAAAAUAAUAAACUGCUAAGCUGUAUAGAAAAUGGGCAAAAGGGUUACUCUCCAAGAAAAUGAUAGGCUCAACAACUCACUUGACACUUAUUUAUGACAUGUUCAUUCCUUCAAGCAACUCAUAUUUGUCUCCGACAUCAACAUGUAAAGUAGCAAACAUAGCGUAACAUCACUUAAGACCAAAGAUAAUACAAAUACUAAAAUUUGAAAUUAAUCAUGUCAUCCAAUGUUAAAACAAAUAACACAAAUUUUUUUUUUUUUAAACAACAUUCUACCCCCCAACCUAUUCUAAACAUGAAAAGAAAAUAUGCAUGCAGAAAUGUGAAAAUGAUGUAGAAAAAUUAAUUAGAAAAAGAUUUUUUUUUUUUAAAACUAAGAAGAUGCGUUUCUAGAGGCACUACACUCCAUAUUCAGCCAUCUUCGACUCAAAAGUUGGAAAAUGUAUAUUUAUAGAGGAGAAAAUAAAAAGAAGAAGAAAAAUGAAGUAGAAAAAUUAAUUAGAAAAAGAAUUUUUUUUUUCGAACAAUGAAGAUGCGUUUCUAGAGUAACUACACUCCAUAUUCAGCCAUCUUCAACACAAAAAGUUAGCAACAGUUAGUUUCUACAACAAAAAAUUAGUAAAAACUUAACCAAGAUUCCACAAUUGUCGACUAUUCCCUCCCCCCAACCAGAACGAAACAUUGUCCUCAAUGUUUGAAAGGAAAGAAGUAGAGUUUAGAAGACAUCACCUGGGUGGUGCAACACAGAAGAAUAUAUUUACAGGCGGAGAGUUAAAUCUAAUUUGUACUUCUUACUGCGGCUACUGUUACCAUCAUUAGUUGGUCGCUCCAACACAAAGGUCCAGGGGUCUGGCUCCGGUUUAUAAGCUUGUAACAUAUCAAGUAGCUCAUUAGCAGUGUGAGCACAAAUAAAGAGUUUUUUCACAUUAGAAUGCGAUAAAGUCAUCAUAAAAGUUAUUGACAUUUAACAAACCAAUAGGUUUCUGGUGGAUGUGCAGAUGGGCCCAAGAUGCUAGUGUCAUAAAUGCUUCUAGUGUUGCAAGAUCUCCUGGAAGGAAAAUAAAAGCAUCAGCAUGAUUAAGCAUUUCAGUUAUUCUUUCUUGCAUACCUGAGACGACUAACUCUUCUCCAGUUGAUGAGUCAGACGAACUGCCCAAUGGUUUUAGGACUCUUGGGAUGAUGCCUAACACUUGACUUCCUCUGAUAAAAGCUGCUUCUGAGACCAUUUUUGAUAACCCUCGGUUACCUCCUCCAUACACCAAGUGUAAUUUUCUCGCUGCUAUGCUUCGACCAAGAUCUAUGGCUGCCUCCACAAACUCUUUAUGUUUGCCACAGGUAAAUCCAGAAAGCACACAAAUGUUCUUGAAUUGUCUAAUGGGAGUAGCUGCCAUUGUGAUACUUCUCAAAAACAAUUUGUGAGUGCUUGACAAAAGAUAAAUCACAUUUAAGAAUCUUGGUGACAGUGGAUCACAACUGUGAAUGAGGUAACAUGUCAGUGUCAAAUAACGCGUAAAGCACGUGGCUCGCGAGUCAAAAAGGAAACAAUAAAAAAAAGAAAAAGCAAACAGUAACAAAAUUAUUAAAGACAAAAAUAAAACAACAGUGAAAUGAAAUAAAAUAACAGUAAAGUAAAAGGAUAUUUACACGUAGUUGCGACUGUGGCUCACAUCUUCCUCUGGUUUUACGUCCAGAAACGGCUUGAACGCCCUCUAUGGGUCGAGGAUAGGCUUCCUAUCCAGUUUUCUUAUAAACUGGCAAACAGGGUCGUUUAUAGUCAGAUUCCCGAGACUAUAUCGUGCAUGCUCUUUCUGGAAUAAUGGCCAUAACUGGAGAACCGCUCCUUGCACAUAUCCACUAGGAUGCGUUUCAAGAGACAAAAGGAUAUCAUCCAAUGACUCCUUAUUCAAGCCAUCCCUAAUGAAUUGAAUCUUAUAUUCCCUGUUAUCAGACACCAUUCCUAAAGAACAUGGGUUUCUAUCGCAACUCAUUCUGGCACACUUAUGACAAGCAACAGAAAUUCUUCGAGCUCGUCGUUUUCUUCCAUAAUUUCCUUUACCACAACCAGGCAUGAAUGCAAUAAAUUUUGGAGGAAACUCACCUGCCGAUCGUACUUUAGCCUCGAUUAACCAACGGAUGUCAGCAGGUAUGUUAUUCCUCAUGAGUAAUCGCAUGCGUUCGGAUCGAGCUUUAUAGAUCGUAAGGAGGGCAUUCUGAGGAAGUGAAGGGAAUCGCUUGUGAAGCUUCGCUAGAAUCUCGUUUCUGUUCAUACUUUCACCUCAGAAUGUCAGUUAUUAUGGGAAACUGAAGUAACCGACUUGAUUGUCACGGAGUACCGUUAUCCGCCACUUCACCGGGGUAACAAACUAAAGCACAUAAACAGAAAAACAAAUCAAAACACACAAAGAAAAUUAAAAUCGUCCUCUUAUUGAAUUUACCUCAAGCUCCAACUGGAUGUCGUAAACACUUCUCUCAAUGUCUCUGAGUUGGCGUUCUAAACCCUCAACAUAGGCUACUAACUCUGGUGGUUGUAGAGCCCAAAUGCGUUGUGUUUUACAAAAUUGAAUCUGCCUUUUGAGAUGAGUUUUGAUACGUUGAAGUGGUUUAAGAAUGUUCAGGAGGAACGGUCUAAGUAUGAGACUCAUGAUUAAAAAUGAUAAGAGAAAACUUAAUGGUAAAAUAAACACACUUAUGCAAAAACAAUUUCAAUUAGCAAAAGAAUAAUAAUAAAAAGAAAGAAAGAAAAAUCAAAUCAACGAAAAGAAAAAAAAUCAAUUCAAAUUUGGUGGGUCACUCAAAUUUAUUUCGGUGUCUUCUCUAUGUGGUUGGUACUCAAGAUAUGGCUUUAAUCUUUGACCAUUAACUUUAAACGUGACACCGUUCUUUGGGUCCUUAAUUUCAAUUGCCCCAUGUGGAAAAACAGUAUGAACAAUAAAGGGACCAGACCAUCGAGAGCGUAACUUACCUGGGAAUAGGUGCAAGCGAGAAUUGAAUAAAAGCACUUUCUGACCUGGAGUGAAAGAUUUUCUCAUAAUGUGCUUGUCAUGAAAGACUUUCAUUCGUUGCUUGUAAAUUUUGGCAUUUUCGUAUGCAUCAUUGCGAAUUUCUUCAAGUUCUGCCAGCUGUAAUAUUCUUUCUGAGCUGGCUUGUUGCAUGUCAAAAUUGAAUUUCUUGAUGGCCCAAUACGCACGAUGCUCGAGUUCCACAGGUAGGUGGCAAGCUUUUCCAUACACUAGCCUGUAGGGUGACAUCCCAAUCGGGGUCUUGAAAGCCGUUCUAUAUGCCCAUAAUGCAUCAUCAAGUCUUAAUGACCAAUCUUUCCUGUCUGGCCUCACCGUUUUUUCUAAUAUGUGCUUUAUUUCUCGAUUGGAUAUCUCAACUUGGCCACUGGUUUGCGGAUGAUACGGGGUCGCCACUUUGUGUGUGAUUGAAUACUUUGUCAAAAGAGCCUUGAAUGCUUUGUUACAAAAGUGGGCACCACCAUCACUGAUUAUCGCUCGAGGGAAUCCAAAGCGUGAAACAAUGUUGCUUUUCAAAAAUCCUAUCACCACUUUGUGAUCAUUGGUUCUGCAUGGAAUUGCUUCCACCCAUUUCGAUACGUAGUCAACACCAACCAAUAUGUAUUGAUGGCCAAAAGAAGGGGGAAAGGGUCCCAUGAAGUCGAUACCCCAUACGUCAAAAAUCUCAACCACUAAAAUUGGAUUUAGUGGCAUCAUGUUCCUUCGUGUAAUGCUCCUCAUUCGUUGACACCUAUCACAUGAAGAACAAAAAGUGUAAGCAUCUCGAAAUAUAGUUGGCCAAUAAAAACCACAUUGUAAAACUUUAGUCACGGUUUUCUUAGCACUGAAGUGGCCUCCACAAGCUUGUUCAUGGCAGAAUGAAAGGAUAUUCUGAAUUUCACUUUCUGGGACACAUCGUCUAACAAUUUGGUCUGCACAAUACUUGAACAAAUACGGGUCAUUGUUGAGUGUUAGAAAAUGCAUAUUUAUAAAGGAGAAAACUGUCAUUUUAUGUUUCAAGUCUUACUAACAACCCUUACUUUUAUGUAUUUAACCUUCUUGUAAUGUAAUUACGUGUGUGUUAUUUUAAUUAAGUAUUUUAUGUAUUUUAGGGGCAUUAUAGUCAUUUCACAAUAAAGGAGAGAUCAGACGGCAAAACGGACAUCACUUUUGAACUCAGGACGGUCGAAAACCUUAGGAGGAGCAUAAAAGGAAAAAUGGCACUAUUCACAUAUACGGUAGUAUUCACGUAUACGGUACUGUCUACGUUACUGUUCACGACACUGUUCACAUAGACGGAUCGAUGACGUGGCAUUGACCGAUGAUGUGGCAUUGACUGAUGAGGUGUCACGAUCCUGUUGGACUAAAAUUCUAAUGUACUGUUGAUGGUGACGUGGCAGCAUAUCAGUGGACGAAAAAUCUCGCGUACGGUGCAUGCAUCACACAUGAUUAUUUUCAACCAAACCGCGUUACUGUUCAUCCGGGUCAAACCGUGUUACUGUUCAUCCGCGUGGUCAAACCGUGGACUGUUGACUGAUGACGUGGCGCAAUCCUGAGCGUCCAAACUGUUUUUAAUCCGAUGGCCAUGAUUUACUCCAUGUAUCUAUAAAAAGGGGGCCUCCCCCCCAUAAUUUGAUAUCUCUGAAUCCAUUUUUGGGAUCCAUUUUCUGUAAUUCCUUCUCCAUCUUGUAUUUUCUUUGUAUUUUAAUAAAUUCCCUUUUUGCCCCUAGUUCAAUUAUGAGUAGCUAAUUUCUUUUCAAGCUUGGGUUGAAGGUGAAGUCUCAACAUGUGUCAUGGGCUUUAUUUGGUAAAUUUAUUUUCUUUUCCCCUCUAGUUUUUGUGGAUGAUUUGACUUAUCGUCGAUAAAUAAUAAUGAUCUUGUCUAGAUACCGCCUUGGUUACACCGGCUCUCUAGUAUAAGGUUAUUAUUAUUUGGCACGAUAAGCCCUUAGCACCAUAUUGAUUAGAGCGUGGUUCAUGAGGUGUGGAUUCCCCCCUCAUGAUUUAAUUGGCAUUAAUAUGGAUUAUUUAGCCCAUGAUGCAUGUUGAUACGGAUCCAGAUACCCAAGUACGUCAUUUCAAUAGAUUUCGCUUCAACUUAUUCUCGCCAUUGCAAUUCCAAUUUUAGAAUUUAUUAUCGCAAUUUCAAUUCCAAUUUUAGGAUAAUUUAAAUCACUUCCACCACAAUUCCAACCACCCAUUUUGCAAAAUUAAUUCUAUACACAAUUAAAAUCCACCUCCUCGUGGGAUCGACACUCGUCACCAUUGAUCUACACUACAAUAGAUUCGUGCGCUUGCGAGUUCAUUAAAAUUUGCACAACAGUCAUCCCAAAAGAAAUUCUUUAUUUCUACAAAGAAUUUAGCCUUGUCUUGCUUGGUCCAAUGCUCUGGAAAUUUACCUGUAACAAGAUAAUUAACUAUAUCAGCAUACCAAGGUAAUACUUCCACAUUCAUCAAUUGUUCAUCUGGAAAUGACUCAUUCAAUAUUAAUGGCUCUGUAAUUGUGUCAAAAUGGAGACGAGAGAGGUGGUCCGCCACAACAUUCUCUGUGCCUUUCUUAUCUUUGAAUUCCAAGUCAAACUCCUGCAAAAGUAACACCCAACGAAUUAGUCUAGCUUUUGCAUCUUUCUUUGUGAGAAGAUAUUUAAGAGCAGCAUAAUCUGUGAAUACAAUUAUUUUACAACCAAUGAGAUAAGAUCGAAAUUUUUCUAAUGCAAACACUACUGCUAGCAUUUCUUUUUCAGUAGUUGAAUAAUUCAACUGUGCAUCAUUGAAUGUCAUACUAGCAUAGUAAAUAACAUGGGGAAUUCGAUCAACUCUUUGUCCUAAUACUGCUCCUACGGCAUAAUCAGAUGCAUCACACAUUAGCUCAAAUGGUAAGCUCCAGUUUGGGGCCUGAAUGAUGGGUGAUGAUGUCAACAACUGUUUUAAUUUUUCAAAUGCAACAAGACAUGAAUCAUUAAAGACAAAAGGUACAUCCUUAGCAAGUAGAUUGCAUAAGGGUCUAGAAACUUUGCUAAAAUCUUUAAUGAAACAUCUAUAAAAACCAGCAUGCCUAAGGAAAGAUCUUACUUCUCUGAUUGUUUUGGGUGGAGGAAGAUUAGAAAUGAGAUCCACCUUGGCUUUGUCAACCUCAAUACCUUUGCUCGAAAUGAUGUGACCGAGAACAAUACCUUGUUUUACCAUAAAAUGGCACUUCUCCCAAUUUAAGACUAAGCUCUUCGCGGUACAUCUCUGCAGAACUAGCGUUAGAUGAUGUAAACAUUGAUCAAACGAGUCACCAAAGAUAGAAAAAUCAUCCAUAAAGACUUCAAGGAAUCGUUCAACCAUAUCAGAAAAAAUGCUCAACAUGCAUCGUUGAAAUGUAGCAGGUGCAUUACAUAAUCCAAAUGGCAUUCUCCUAUAUGCAAAAGUGCCAAAAGGGCAAGUAAAAGUAGUUUUCUCUUGAUCUUUUGGUGCUAUGGGAAUCUGAUUAUAUCCUGAGUAGCCAUCUAGAAAGCAAUAAAAUUCAUGGCCUGCUAAUCUAUCAAGCAUUUGAUCAAUAAAUGGUAAAGGAAAAUGGUCUUUACGUGUGACAGAAUUCAACUUUCUAUAAUCAAUGCAUACACGCCAUCCUGUAGUUACUCUAGUUGGUAUCAAUUCAUUAUCAGCAUUGGUAACUACUGUGACUCCUGACUUUUUGGGGACAACUUGUACAGGACUGACCCAUGAACUAUCAGAAAUUGGGUAAAUGAUACCUGCGUCUAAUAGCUUAAGGACUUCUGUUCUAACAACUUCUUUCAUAUUAGGAUUUAACCGACGUUGCAUUUCCCUAGUAGAUUUAGCAUUUUCAUCAAGGUGAAUGUAAUGCAUGCAGUCUACUGGAUUUAUACCUUUUAUGUUCGCUAUGGUCCAUCUUAAUGCUCCUUUGUGCUAUUUAAAACAUCCAACAACUUACCUUUUUGUUCGUCAUUUAGGGAUGAUGAGAUGAUUACCGGCAGAGUACUUUCUUCUCCCAAAAACGCAUAUUCCAAUGUGUUGGGUAAUGGUUUGAGCUCGAGUUUCGGUGGUGAUUCUGAUGAUGGGAUGAGUUUCUUCUCUGAUGGUGCUAGUUGUUCAACUCUUGACUUCCAUUUAUUAGUGUCCAUGGAUGGUGCUGAGUCAAGUAGGGCGUUGACCUCAUCAACUGAUCUGUCAAUAUCAAAAUCCAAACCAAAGUGAGUUAAACAUGUUUAUAAAGGAUCAUCACUAAGGUUUGAAAGAAAAGUAUUAUCAACUAUUGUUUCUAUUAAAUCCACAUCAACAAUUCCAUCAUCUGCACUGUGAGGUUGUUUGGCAAUGUUGAAGAUGUUCAGCUCCAUAGUCAUGCUGCCGAAGGACAACUGCAUAUUUCCAGUCCUGCAUUGAAUGUGAGCAUCCGCAGUUGCCAAGAAAGGUCGACCUAGAAUAAUAGGGAUGUGCUUCCUUGAAUCCUGUAUUGGUUGAGUGUCAAUUACAAUGAAAUCAACAGGAAAAUAAAACUUGUCUACCUGGAUAAGCACGUCCUCCACAAUACCACGAGGUAUUUUCGUGGACCGAUCUGCAAGCUGUAACACCACUGGAGUUGGGUGUAAUUCUCCCAGUCCAAGUUUCACGAAUACAGAGUAAGACAAAAGAUUUACACUAGCUCCUAAAUCCAACAAAGCAUUCUCAAUUGUGUGGUUCCCUAUACUACAUGAGAUAGUGGGGGAGCCUGGGUCUUUGCAUUUUAAAGGAAUUUUAUGUUGGAGUAUAGAACUAACAUUUACUGUUAAAAAUGCCUUCUUUUGAACAUGCAUAUUUCUCUUUUUAGUACAAAGGUCUUUAAGAAACUUGGCAUAAGAUGGAACUUGCUUUAUAGCAUCAAGUAAAGGGAUGUUAACACUUACCUGUUUGAAGAUUUCGAGAAUCUCACCUGUGGAUUUUCCCUUCUUUCCUUUCGCUAACCUCUGAGGAAAUGGAGCUUUGGGAACGUAUUCUCGUGGGUUGGUUUCUUCUUUUUCCUCCGGUGGUGAGUCCUCAACAUUCACAGGUACAAUUUGAUUUUCUUUUGUCACCGGCAUCUCCACUUUGUUGUCGACUUCCUUUCCUUUUCGCAAGGUCAUGACUGCUUUGACCUCUCCAUGCUGUUGUGGUGAACUGGUACUUGCUUCAUGUACUCCUUUAGGAUUAGGCACUGGUUGACUUGGAAAUUUACUUUUCUCAACAGUAAUUGCCAAGGUCUGAACUGAAGAAGCAAGUUGUCCCACCAUCUUCUCGAGGCUUGAAACUGAUUGGGCUUGUGAGUUGAAGCCCGCUCUCAACUCAUUUCGUAGUCCAUCAAUAGUGCGGUUCUGUUGCUCAAUCGUAGAGUGAGUAACAUUCUUGAGAUUUUGGAAUGAAUCCUCCCAUGGUCUGGGUUGAGAGUAGUUCUUGUUCUGAUUGUAUGGUCUGAAUGGUGGCUGAGAGGCUUGAGGAUUUUGAGGAAUUUGUUGCAUUGGUGGAGCUGGAGCUGCUGGUCCAUUCUGUUGGAAUCCUUGAGACCAUGAAAAAUUGGGGUGGUCUCUCCAUCCAGGGUUAUAUGUGUUGGAGUAUGGGUUGUAAUUAGAUGGCUUUCUCAUUACACCUAUGGCAUUGGCUUGAUCUGGAUAUGAGUCAGGGUCACGUGAUUCUGUUGAUUUAGCAGUCGAUAACGAUGUUAUUUGUCGAGCAAGACCUUCAACCAUCUCCUUGACUUCUUUGAUUCCCGAAGUUGACUCGCCAAUGUGAACCUCAUUCACUCCUUUAAUCCUUCUAGUAUUCCUGAGUGAUCGACUCCGUUGUUGGGAAUUGUCCGCUUGUCGCUGGAAAAACUCCCAAAUUUCUGAUGCACUUUUUGACAUUAGCUCUCCUCCACUUGUUGCCAUUAGCCAUUCUUGCACAUUCGGCAAUAAUCCCUUCAAAAAGUAUUGGUAUUGGUGCCAUUUCUCGUACCCAUGAUGUGGACACUUCAAGAGUAGUCCAUUGAAUCGCUCCCAAGUUUCGAAAAACUGCUCGUCCUCUCUUUGUGUAAACUCUGAGAUUUCCCUGCGAAUAGAAUUGGUUUUAUGCACUGGGAAAUAUUUAUUUAGAAAUUUUGUAACCAUUUGUUCCCAUGAUGCAAUGCUAUUAGCAGGCAAAGUAUUUAACCAUGAACGAGCUCUAUCCUUUAAAGAAAAUGGGAAUAAUCUAAGUUUAACAUCAUCGUCUGAAAAAUUUUCAUAUUUAAAAGUUUGACAAAUGGCAUGAAAAUCAUUCAGAUGAUUAUAUGGGUCCUCAUUUUCUAGGCCAUAGAAUGUGGGGAGACAAUUUAGCACACUAGGUUUUAAUUCAAAACUCCUAGCAGCUACAUUUGGGUAUCUUAUGCAUGAUGUGCUCAAAUUAGCUAAGGGACUAAAAUAAUCCUUAAAUGGCCUCUCCUGUGGUGCUUGUAAAUCCAUUUUAUUUUUAAAUUGUUUGUGUGUGCGAAGUGUUUUUUCUAAUUCAAGGUCUAUAGGUUCAAGAUUUGGUAAUAAUGACCUACGACCAUGCAUGCAAAACAAAUAAAAUAAAAAUAAAGAUGGGAAUAAAACGAAUAAAAAUAAAGAAAAAUGAGAAAUUACGAUACUAACCUUAUUGCGCUGUUACAACUUUUCUAUAAAAACACACUAAAACAAAUACGUGAAAUAAAUUAACUAAAAAUAAAUUAAUUAAAAAAAAUUACAAAGAAAAAUAACUUAAAAAUUAAAUUGCAGAAUUGUAAAGAAUAGAGAAAGAAAAGAAAUUAUUACCUCUAAUUGCAGAUUCACUUUUUUUUUUCUCUUUUUUUUUAUAAAAAAAUACAAGAAAACAAAUAAAAGAAAUUAUUCACAAAAAUUAAUUCUAUGAAUUAAAAUUACUUACCUCCCCGGCAACGGCGCCAAAAACUUGUUGUGCAAAUUUUAAUGAACUCGCAAGCGCACGAAUCUAUUGUAGUAUAGAUCAAUGGUGACGAGUGUCGAUCCCACGAGGAGGUGGAUUUUAAUUAUAUGUAGAAUUAAUUUUGUAAAUGGGUGGUUGGAAUUGUGGUGGAAAUGAUUUGGAAUAUGCUAAAACUUAAAUUAAAAUGGCGAGAAUAAAUUCUGAAAUUGGAAUUGCAAUGGCGAGAAUAAAUUGAAGUGAAAUCUAUUGAAAUAACGUACUUGGGUAUCCGGAUCCGUAUCAACAUGCAUCAUGGGCUAAAUAAUCCGUAUUAAUGCCAAUUAAAUCAUGAGGGGAGAAUCCACAUCUCAUGAACCACGCUCUAAUCAAUAUGGUGCUAAGGGCUUAUCGUGCCAAAUAAUAAUAACCUUAUACUAGAGAGCCGGUGUAACCAAGACGGUAUCUAGACAAGAUUACUAUUAUUUGUUGACGAGAAGUCAAAACAUCCACAAAAACUAGAGGGGAAGAGAAAAUAAAUUUACCAAAUUAAGCCCAUGACACAUGUUGAGACUUCACCUUCAACCCAAGCUUGAAAGAAAAUUAGCCACUCAUAAUUGAACUAGGGGCAAAAUGGGAAUUUAUUAAAAUACAAAGAAAAUACAAGAUGGAGAAGGAAUUACAGAAAAUGGAUCUCAAAAAUGGAUUCAGAGCUAUCAAAUUAGGGGGGGGAGGCCCCCUUUUUAUAGAUACAUGGAGUAAAUCAUGGCCAUCGGAUUAAAAACAGUUUGGACGCUCAGGAUUGCCCCACGUCAUCAGUCAACAGUCCACGGUUUGACCACGCGGAUGAACAGUAACACAGUUUGACCCGGAUAAACAGUAACACGGUUUGGUUGAAAAUAAUCCUGUGUGAUGCAUGCACCGUACGCGAGAUUUUUCGUCCACUGAUAUGCUGCCACGUCACCAUCAACAGUACAUAAGAAUUUUAGUCCAACAGGAUCGUGACACCUCAUCAGUCAAUGCCACAUCAUCGGUCAAUGCCACGUCAUCGAUCCGUCUAUGUGAACAGUGUCGUGAACAGUAACGUAGACAGUACCGUAUACGUGAAUAGUACCGUACAUGUGAAUAGUGCCAUUUUUCCUUUUAUGCUCCUCCUAAGGUUUUCGACCGUCCUGAGUUCAAAAGUGAUGUCCGUUUUGCUGUCUGAUCUCUCCUUUAUUGUGAAAUGACUAUAAUGCCCCUAAAAUACAUAAAAUACUUAAUUAAAAUAACACACACGUAAUUACAUCACAAAAAGGUUAAAUACAUAAAAGUAAGGGUUGUUAGUAAGACUUGAAAUGUAAAAUGAUGGUUUUCUCCUUUAUAAAUAUGCAUUUUCUAAUACUCAACAGUUCCCAAAUAUGAAAGAUGCUUAGGCCUCCCAUCCAUGAUAGGCCGGAAGAAGAUGAGUUUUUUCAAGGAUGUCAAAUUAAAGGUUUUAAGAAAAAUUUCCAACUGGCACCAUAAAAUGUUCUCUAGUGGUGGAAAGGAAGUUCUUUUUAAAGCAGUCGCUCAAGCCAUCCCAGCAUAUGCCAUGAGCGUUUUCAAGCUCCUGAAGGGGCUAUGUGAAGACAUCCAAAGAGUUAUAGCCAAAUUUUGGUGGGGUUCGAAUCAAGAUAAGCAAGCAAUACACUGGUCGAGAUGGGAAAAAUUAAGUUGUGCAAAGAGUAGAUGGGGGCUGGGAUUCAGAGAUUUUACCAGCUUCAAUCAAGCAAUGGUGGCUAAACAAGGUUGGAGGCUGCUUCAGUUCCCGGAUUCCCUGGUAUCCAAGUUACUGCAGGCCAAAUACUACAGGAACUCCUCAUUCUUGAAUGCAAAGGAAGGUUCUAAUCCUUCUUUUAUCUGGAAAAGCAUCCUUUGGGGUAGGCUAGUUAUAAAAAAAAGGGCAAGAUGGCGAAUUGGGAAUGAGAGCAAUAUUCGGGUGUACAAAGACAAUUGGCUGCCAAGAUUGGAUACUUUCAAACCGAUAUCCCCUCCAACAUUGCCCAUGGAAACAACAGUGGCCAAGUUGAUAACUGAGGACAGCCACUGGAAUGAAGCUAAGCUAAAGCACCACUUUUUCGAGGAGGACACAGAAGCAAUACUCAAAAUUUCCCUCCCCCCAAGCCAUAAAGAGGAUUCCUUACUAUGGCAUUUUGACAAAAGAGAGGCAUACACUGUAAAAAGUGGCUACCAGGUGGCUCUCAAGCUUAAAUUCCCAAAUCAGGCCAGCAGCUCAGCCAGCCCCCCCCCCAAGAUGGAAUAAUCUGUGGUCUCUUAACUGGCCUGAAAAAAUCAAAAUCUUCAUGUGGAGAGCAUCCAAAAACCUUUUUCCAACAGCUGAAAACUUGUGGAAAAGAAAAUGUCUCCAAGAUCCAAUUUGCAAAAGAUGCUGCAGAAGUGUAGAAACCACUUACCAUGCUCUGCUAGAGUGUAAAGCAACGAAGAAGAUCUGGAAUCAUGCUCCUCUCCAGCUGAUAAGAAGCUACGCAGAACUAAUCGUGUAGCCAAACCCAACAGCAAGUACAUGGAAUAUGCAUGGGCACGUCAUUAGCCAUGCAACGUUUGAGAUGAUGAUCUGGAGCUGACUUCUUCAAAUUAACCGUUGCUUAUUUGGAGGAGAUCUUUCAUGCAAGUAUUUGUUUUGGUAUAUUUUGGAAUAAUAGUCAGGUUGUUGAGAUGUUGUUAACGACUUGAUUUAGUUAGCUUUGUUCAAGCCUUGUUUCACGGCUAAGGAAAUUAGUUUUGUAUUAGACUAUAAAUAAGCUCUUUUAUUCAAUAAGAAGAUCAUCAGAUUUUUAUUCCAAAAACAUUAUUUGUGGUAGUUCUCGCCCAAAGAAGAACAAGCAAUUUACUUUGUCAAUUCUGCUAGUUUUGACUGGGACCUCUAUUAGUGGUAUCAGAGCUAGGUUAGGAUGGCAACCAACAAAGAGCGUAUCGAGCGAAUAGAAACAGAGGUCGGAGAUAUACAAGACAAGAUGCAACAGUUGGAGUUGGGGAUCAAUGACAAAUUGGCACACAUUGAGGCAACAUUAAGCAAGCUUGCGGACUCAAUCAAUACUUCAAGAGGGUUGCCAAGUAUCAACAACAAUACUGCAUCUUCACGACUGGGCCGAGAAGUCAGUACAGGAGGGCCUCAACAUUUCCAAUCCAAGGUAGCAAAACUAGAAUUCCCUCACUAUUCGGGCGACGACCCCACCGAAUGGUUCAAUCGUGCAAGUUAGUUCUUCGAAUAACAGGAAUCAACAGACGAUCAGAAAGUGGUUCUAGCGUCAUUCCACUUGGAGGGGGAAGCAAAUCAGUGGUGGCAGUGGCUUCGAAGGUCUUAUCAAGAUGAAGGCAAAGUCGUGACUUGGGAGGUGUUUAUGGAGGAGUUAUGGGCAAGGUUUGGACCGACAGACUGUGAAGAUUUCAACGAGGCUCUCUCACGGGUUAAACAAACCGGUACUCUCCGUGACUACCAGAAGGAAUUUGAACGACUCGGAAACCGUGUUCAAGGCUGGACACAGAAGGCACUUGUUGGAACAUUCAUGGGAGGGCUUAAACCAGAGAUAUCUGAAGAAAUUCGGCUGUUUCGACCGAGGACUCUUAAGGAAGCAAUAAGCUUGGCAAGAAUGAGAGAUGAGCAACUGACCCGACAACGGAGACUGUUGAGAUCACCAAUCCUCACUCGUUCACCAACGGCUCAAGUCACCAACCAACGUGCUUCACCAACAGUACCCUUUAAGAGACUUUCUUGGGAGGAGAUGCAAAAACGCAGGUCACAAGGAUUAUGUUUUAACUGUAAUGAAAAAUUCUCUGCAGGUCAUAAGUGCAUAAAGGCGCAAUUGUUAAUCUUAGAAGCAGAUGAUAACGAAGAGUCCACGGAAACAACGCAACAUGAGUAUGAGACGGAAGAGCACGACAAACCUAAAAUAACAUUCUAUGCUUUGGCGGGUUAGGCUGCUCCUCAGACAAUGCGAGUGAAAGCUAAGAUUGGGCCACACGAGAUUAUUGUACUAGUGGACAGCGGCUCAACGCACAAUUUUAUCAACUCGCGUUUGGCUAAUAUGCUUCAGCUCCCAGUUCAACCGACAUCAGCAUUUCCAGUAAAAGUGGCCAAUGGAGAGAAAGUUAUUUGCCAGGGGAAACAUGACAAGGUACAUGUUUUAAUUCAGGACAUCCCUUUUGAACUUACUCUCUACUCAUUGCCGAUUACAGGACUCGACGUGGUGCUUGGUGUCCAAUGGCUUGAAAGCUUAGGGUCGGUGGUUUGUAAUUGGAAACAAUUAACAAUGGACUUCGAUUGGGAUAAUGCUAAGCGAAGGUUGCAAGGGCUGGAUCCACAAACAAUUCAAGCUACAACAUUAUCUGAAGUUGCCAAAGAUAUGAAACAAGGGCACAACGUGUUUGCUAUAUGUCUCUAUUUAAACAAUGAGGAAUCAUAUACAGUAGCACCGGCCAGCAUGAGGAGUUUGCUAGAGGAAUAUUCCGAGCUGUUCGUGGAACCCAAACAACUCCCACCAACACGGGAAAUCGACCACCAAAUCACUCUUAAAGAAGGAACAGAACCAAUUAAUGUGAGACCCUACCGGUACGCUUAUUUCCAAAAAGCGGAGAUUGAGAGACAAGUGAACGAAAUGCUGUCUUCCGGGCUCAUUCGACCAAGCACCAGCCCCUUCUCAUCACCGGUACUCCUAGUAAAAAAAAAGAUGGCAGUUGGAGGUUUUGUACUGACUACAGAGCACUCAACAAGGCCACAGUAAAAGACAGAUUUCCAAUACCAACAGUAGAAGACAUGUUAGAUGAAUUGCACGGUGCAACAUUCUUCACCAAACUAGACCUCAGAGCCGGCUACCAUCAGGUACGGCUAAACUCAUCAGAUAUACAUAAGACGGCUUUUCGCACACACAAUGGCCAUUAUGAAUAUCUGGUCAUGCCAUUCGGCUUAUGCAAUGCUCCCUCUACUUUUCAAGCAAUUAUGAAUGCUAUUUUUCGGCCCCAUCUUCGGAAAUUUAUAUUGGUAUUUUUUAACGACAUCUUGAUUUAUAGUCCCACGUGGGAAUGUCAUUUGAAACACGUUAGACAGACCUUGGAAAUUCUUAAACAACAUCAAUUUUUUGUCAAGGCUAGCAAGUGCAAUUUUGGCCAGCAAGAACUUGAAUAUUUGGGACACAUCGUCACUUGCCAUGGUGUGAAGGUGGAUGAACAGAAAAUUGCAGCAAUGGUGUCAUGGCCAAAGCCACGGAAUAUUACAGAGCUAAGGGGAUUUUUAGGCCUAACAGGGUAUUAUCGCAAGUUCGUUCGUGGGUAUGGCCUGUUAGCCCGGGCCCUAACCAAUCUUCUUAAGAAAGGACAAUUCGGGUGGAAUACUGAAGCUGCAACAGCAUUUGAGCAAUUGAAACUUGCCAUGACUCAAACUCCAGUACUUUCUAUGCCUAAUUUUAACGAUGUUUUUGUUAUUGAAACUGAUGCGUCCGGUGAUGGCAUAGGAGCAGUACUGCAGCAAAACGGAAAACCAAUAGCUUACAUGAGUCGAGCGUUGGGUAUAACAAAAAAGACUUGGUCGACAUAUGCGAAAGAGAUGUUGGCAGUGGUAGAGGCGGUCAGAUUUUGGAGGCCUUAUUUACUGGGACAACGAUUUGUGAUACAAACAGAUCAAAAAAGCUUAAAAUAUCUCUUGGAGCAGAAGAUAGCAACUCCUGAUCAACAGCAAUGGAUGGUCAAACUCAUGGGUUACGAUUACGAAAUCCGAUACCGCCCCGGCAAGGAAAACGCUGCUGCCGAUGCACUCUCUAGAAGAACUGACAGCCCAACUCUUAAUCAUCUUUUUGUACCGCAGGUGUCACUAUGGGGAGAAAUUAAAAAGGCUAUGCAUGAAGAUGAUUAUCUAAAGAAGAUUGCACAGCAAGUUGAGACUCAACCCGACGGCCCUUACACGGCAAAAAACGGCCUCAUAUUCUUCAAAGGCAGGGUAAUAGUUCCGCGAAAGAUGCGUGACUUAUUAUUAUUUGAGGCCCACAAUACGAAAAUAGGAGGGCAUUCCGGAGUCCUUCGCACUUACAAACGCUUAGCGCAGCAAUUUUAUUGGCCCUCAAUGUUUCAAUCUGUUCAUGAUUAUGUAAGUAAGUGUGUUGUUUGCCAGAAGACGAAGAGUGAAACGCUACAACCAGCAGGGCUUCUUCAACCGUUGCCUGUUCCUUGCCAAGUGUGGGAGGAUAUUUCUUUAGAUUUUAUUGAAGGGCUGCCUAAUUCACAAGGAAGAGAUACAAUAUUUGUGAUAGUCGACAGGCUCAGUAAAUAUGCAUUCUUCCUUUCCUUAUCUCACCCAUUUACCGCUAAAUCUGUUGCUGAAAGAUUUGUUGACGGAGUGGUAAAACUACACGGCAUGCCCAAGAGUAUUGUAAGUGAUCGGGAUCCAAUAUUUAUUAGCAAAUUUUGGAGUGAAUUUUUUACACUGUCAGGCACACAAUUAACGAUGAGUUCAGCCUAUCAUCCGCAAACGGACGGCCAAACAGAGGUUGUUAACAGAUGUCUGGAGCAAUAUUUACGCUGCUUUGUCCACCAGUGGCCACGCAAGUGGAACAUGUAUCUGUCGUGGGCUGAGUUUUGGUACAAUACCACUUUUCAUGUAUCCACCGGAAUGACCCCUUUUCAAGCUCUCUAUGGCCGGCCUCCACCUUCUGUCCCCAUGGAUUCGAUCGGGUCUUCACCGGUUCACGAAGUCGAUCACGCCUUACAGACCAGAGAUGAGUUAUUGCGGCAACUAAAAUCUAACCUUGCUGCAGCGGCUAAUCGAAUGAAACAAACGGCCGACAAGAAAAGGAGGGAUGUCGAAUUCAAAGAAGGAGACAUGGUGUACUUGCGCUUGCAUCCGUACCGGCAAUCUUCAGUUUUUAAACGUGCACAUCAAAAAUUAUGCAACAGGUAUUUUGGACCAUAUCAAAUAAUUCAAAAAGUGGGGCCUGUCGCUUUUAAGCUCCAGUUGCCAGAAGGUGCCAAGGUCCAUUCUACAUUUCAUGUUUCAGUACUAAAAAAAGCAGUGGGAGAUUCGACAGAGAGCAGCACGGAGUUACCUCCUAUAGAUGAUGAAGGUGUGCUGGUUUUGGAGCCUAAAUCAGUUCUGGACACUCGGUGGCUUAAAAGAGGUGGUACUGUUAUUGAGCAAAGUCUGAUUCACUGGAACAAUCAACCAAUGGAAGAGGCCACUUGGGAAGAUACUGUCGUCAUUAAGCAGCGGUUUCCUUCGCUGACCCUUGAGGACAAGGGUCCUCUUUCAUGGGGGAGUGAUGAUAAGAAGCUACGCAGAACUAAUCGUGUAGCCAAACCCAACAGCAAGUACAUGGAAUAUGCAUGGGCACGUCAUUAGCCAUGCAACGUUUGAGAUGAUGAUCUGGAGCUGACUUCUUCAAAUUAACCGUUGCUUAUUUGGAGGAGAUCUUUCAUGCAAGUAUUUGUUUUGGUAUAUUUUGGAAUAAUAGUCAGGUUGUUGAGAUGUUGUUAACGACUUGAUUUAGUUAGCUUUGUUCAAGCCUUGUUUCACGGCUAAGGAAAUUAGUUUUGUAUUAGACUAUAAAUAAGCUCUUUUAUUCAAUAAGAAGAUCAUCAGAUUUUUAUUCCAAAAACAUUAUUUGUGGUAGUUCUCGCCCAAAGAAGAACAAGCAAUUUACUUUGUCAAUUCUGCUAGUUUUGACUGGGACCUCUAUUACCAGCCCAAUUUUCAGAAUUCUCCAAACCAGAGCAUCCUCAGCAUCAUCCAAAAUAUGCCCUCCAAUAUGCGGAAGUCUAAUUUCGAUCUCUUGAUCUCUCUAUGUUGGGUGGCUUGGUAUGCUCGAAACAAGUUUAUUUUCGAAGGUAAGAAGAUAGACCCAAGGCUCUCUGUAGCUAAAGCUGAAGCAGUGAUUGAUGCUUUCCAAAGAGCUAGGAAGCCUGGAGCCACUCAUAUCCAUAACAGCAGCAAAGUACCUCAGCAUAAGUGGAAUCCCCCUCCGAAGAAUGUUGUCAAGGUUAACGUGGAUGCAGCCAUCAACAGCAAGAGUCAAAUGGCAGGCUUAGGAGCUGUAAUUAGAGACUCAAAGAACAAAUUUGUAGCUGCAGGCAUCAUGCAAACUGGUUUGAAGGAGCAUGUCAACUAUGCAGAAGCUGAAGCCAUUGUAUAGGGUUUAAAGCUAGCUAGAAGGGCAGCUCUUUCCACUUUGAUCAUAGAGUCAGAUUGCCUAGAAGUGGUUGAGUUAGUAAACAACAUAAAGAGCAACAAAACAGGACAAUGGUGGAUAAUUGAAGAGAUCCAGAACUAAAAAAGUGAGUUUUGUAAUGUAAUUAUCAAUCAUAUCCCUAGAACCUAUAAUGUUUGUGCUCAUUCCCUAACAAAACUUACUGUGGGAGCAAAUACGCCUGCUGUCUGGUUAGACCAUAUUCCAACAGAGGUGAUGAAUGUUCUGAUUUAGUGUUGUUUUUAAUGGAAAGGAUUACUUUCUUCAAAAAAAAAAAAAGAAUAAGAAGAAAGCAUAAUGCGACCCUCCAACAGCUUAAUCUAUGGAAUUAUCGUGUUUUGUAAGUUAGGGUCCAAUGGCGUUUUGGCACAUCAUAUGAUAGACCACUAUAUUGCGUUGCUUUACAAAAGAUUAAUAUUUUUAAAAUUAUUAGGUAAGUUUAGGCUCAGUGGCACUUUAACUCAUGAUAUGAUAGUCCAGGUUUUCGAGGACCACUAUAUUGUAUUGAUUUAAAAAAAAAUUAAUAUUUUUUAAUAUUAAUAUUCUAAAUUAUAUUCAGUUAAAAUAUUAAAUAUUAAAUACAUUCUUAAUAUUAAUAUUCUUAGACGAAAUUCUUUUGCUGGCUUAAGAAUAAAAUAUUAAAUAAUUUUAUUUUUCUUUUAUUGUGUAACGUGGACCCAAAAAAAAAAAGGAAAUGAAUUUAAUAAAACCUUCAUUCCGCCACCAUCCAUGUUAAUUGUUUCCAAAUUCCAACCUCCGUACUCUCUUGAGGAGUUUCCCAUUCAUCAAUUAUUAUUUUUUAUAAUCCAUACCAUCCUGAUAUAAUUAAACACCAUUAAUAAUGUACCAGCCUUUAAAUAGUAAUUAAUUUAUUUAUCUAAUUCACCAAAUGUUUUUUCCGGUACAUAUCUCCAUUGGUAUCAAGAAGAAGCAGAACCCAAACAAAUGUUUCUUGCAUCUUCAUAUUUGUGCAAAUUCAUCCUUUCAUUGAGAAUAACCAUUUCCAGGCAGCAGUUGGCAAUCAAUUCAUGCGCACGUCGAUGCUAUUCAUAGAUAUUAAAGACAAUGAUGAACCAAAGGUGAUAAAUCAUAAAUGCAUAAUUACCAAACCUCCAUCCUUCUCUCAUUAUGAUUUGAUUUUAAAUGAAUUAUUGCUUGGUAACAUUAUUUCCAACCAUUGCAAGCCCUUUUUUUUUUUUGGGAGAAAUUUCAAUUGAAAGUGAAACCUUUAGACAUUUACCUAAUGAAGUUAGUUAAUCGGGAGGGUGGAAAAAAAAAAGGUUGACGCAAGUCAAUACACAAUAAUUAAUUAAAUCCGGAGUGACUAAAACAGAGCCACGACUUUUUCAAAAAUAUCUGCAUUCAUCACUUUCUCCUCGUUUGUUGUCAUCCAAAAUUAUUCACCAAUACCAUGGCUGAUGCAAUCGUUUCCACUAUCUUGGAGCAGCUGAUUUCCUUCGCUGCUGAAGAGAUAAAACAACAGGUGAUCGAAGUUACACCCCUCAUAUUACAAAUACUUCCAAUGAUUUUAAUUGGUUUUGUUUUUAUCAAAAACAUUAUAUAUUUUUGCUUUAUUUUAUUUAUCUGGUAAUUUUAGAUUUUGAAAUUUGAAUUGAAUUUAAUUAAAAGGUCAUGUAGUAACCACUUAUUUUUAUUUUAUUUCAUUUAUAUUCUCAAUAACUAACCAUAUUUUGGUAACUUAAUAUAACUCUCGUACAUAAGAAAUGAUCAAAACCCACAAUUUUAACUCUGUAUAAAUAUUCAACGUUGAGUCAUUAAUUCUCAACUCAGCACUGAAUCCCAAAGCUAUUACUUAGACUCUAUGAAAAAAUUCAUAGUUUUCUUACAUUCUUUGAGUUUGGUAAGUGAUUUCGUAUAAUUUCUUUUCAAGUUAAAUUUUAAUUUGGUUUAUGAUAUAGUCUCUGUGCCGAAUUGUAUCUUUUAUGAUUCUUGGAUUUUGGGCUCCAACUUUUUAGGAUUUGAUAGUCAUAUUUUAUGCCAUGCUCAGAUUGAUUUUCAUGAUUUUUAGUAGCCGUUAAGUGACUUACAAUUUGACGAAAGUUUGAAAGGAAAAAUGUUUCAGGAUUAUGUUUUAAUUGACCUUUUAGUAGAAAUAGGAUGCUUAUAACUUAAUGUGGAUGGUUCGUAAAAUCAUGAAAUUUGGAUAGGAUUCACUAGAAAUAUGUACAAGACUCUCCAUAAAGUUUCAUAAUUUUUCAUUCGGUAUGGGGUGGCACAGGUGAAACUUGUGUUUGGUGUUGAAAAAGAAGUGAAAAGCCUUACCAGCCACCUUCAAGCCAUUCAAGUUGUGCUCGAUGAUGCAGAGGAAAAGCAAGUGAAGGACAAAGCUGUUAGUCUUUGGCUGGGUAGGCUCAAGUACGCAUCCUACGACAUUGAAGAUGUGUUGGAUGAGUGGAUCACAGCAAGACGCAAAUUGCAAAUUGAGGGUGGCGUUGAUGAAAAUGCUCUUGUUGUUCCUCAUAAGAAAAAGAAGGUAUGUCUCUGCUUUCCCAGCUCUUGUUUUGGAUUCAAACAAGAAGAAUUUGGUUUCAAACAAGUCUUUCUCCGUCAUGACAUUGCCGACAAGAUCAAAGAAAUCAAUGAAGAGCUACAUGAUAUUGCCGCUCAAAAAGACAUGUUUGAUCUUGUUAAGAGUGGCAAUAAAAGUAGUGAAAGACCAAGGCGUGUACAGAGUACCUCCUUGAUUGAUGAGGAAGAGAUUUGUGGUAGAGUUGGUGAGAGGAAUGAACUCAUAAGCAAGCUGUUGCGUGAGAGUAGCGAGCAACAAAAAGGCCUCCAUAUCAUCUCAAUUGUUGGUAUGGGAGGCAUAGGGAAAACUACUCUUGCACAACUAGCUUGUAAUCAUGACGAGGUGAAGAGAAAGUUCGACAAAAUUCUGUGGGUGUGUGUAUCAGAAACUUUUGAGGAGUUUAGGGUAGCCAAAGCGAUCGUUGAAGUUUUGGAUGGUCGUGAAUCUCAUUUAGCUGAAUUCCAUUCUCUUCUUCAACAUAUUUAUGAAUCAAUUGCAGGGAAGAGCUUUCUUCUUGUCUUAGAUGAUGUGUGGGAUGGAAAUUACUUGAAAUGGGAACCAUUCUACCGUUGUCUAAAGAAUGGUCUCCAUGGAAGUAAAAUUUUAGUUACCACACGCAAAGGGUCAGUCGCAUCCAUGAUGGGAUCCACAGAUAUUAUCUCUGUCAAGGAGUUAGCUGAAGAGGAAUGUUGGUUGUUGUUUAAAAAGAUAGCAUUUUUUGAUCGGUCCAUCGAGGAACGUGAAAAAUUAGAACAAAUUGGGCAAAGAAUUGCAGGCAAGUGCAAAGGUUUACCUCUUGCAGCAAAGACAAUAGGGAGUCUCAUGCGUUCUAAACAAACUGAAGAAGAGUGGAAAAGAAUUUUAAAUAGUGAUUUAUGGAAAGUAGAAGAGAUUGAGAAAGAUGUUUUGUCCUCUUUAUUGUUGAGUUAUAAUGAUUUGCCAUCUAGAGUAAAAAGAUGUUUUUCAUAUUGUGCUGUCUUUCCAAAAGACUACGAUAUAAAAAAAGACGAACUAAUCACAUUAUGGAUGGCUCAAGGUUAUCUUAGUGCAGAACAAGAUGAAGAGAUGGAGACAAUAGGUGAAGAGUAUUUUGGCAUCUUAGCUUCUCGCUCGUUUUUUCAAGAGUUUAAGAAAAGUUAUGAUAAUCGGAUUAUAGCGUGUAAGAUGCAUGAUAUGGUACAUGAUUUUGCCCGAUUUGUAAGUCAAAAUGAAUGUUUUUCGAUGGCAAUUAAUGGUAGUGAAGAACCAAACGCCACAAACUCUCUUGAUGAAAAGGUCUGUCAUUUAAUGUUAAUCUUUAGUAAAGGGGCUUCAUUACCUGUUUCCACUCGUAGAGUUAAAAGAAUGCGUACCCUCUUAAUUAGCGCUAGUGGAUCUGAUCAUUCAUCAUUAAAUGCUGAGAUCGUAGAAGAAUUAUUUAGGGAAUCGACAAGUUUAAGGGCAUUAGAUGUUAGCCAGGUGUCUUUGCCUACAGAGAUUUUAAGAAAUAUAAAAAAGCUGGUACAUUUAAGAUACCUUAAUUUGCGUUUUCCGAAAAUAGUGAAACUACCGGAGACAUUGUGCGAGUUAUAUAAUCUAGAAAAGUUAGAUAUUAGUUAUUGUUUUAAUCUUAAAGAAUUACCUGAAGGGAUUGGGAAGUUAAUAAACAUGAAGCAUUUACUAAAUAGAGGUACUAAUUCUUUAAGGUACAUGCCAGUAGGGAUUGGGAGAUUAACGGGUCUUAGGACCUUGGGUGAGUUCCGCGUGAGUGCAGGAGGAGAUGUUGAUGGUAGGAAAGCAUGUAGGCUUGAAUCUCUUAAAAACUUGGAACACCUUCAAGUAUGUGGUAUACGUAGACUGGGUGAUGUAUCAGAUGUGGGCGAGGCUAAGCGAUUAGAACUUGACAAAAAGAAAUACCUCUCUUGUUUGAGACUUCGGUUUGAUAAGAAGAAAGAAGGAGGAGAAAGGAGGAAGAACGAAGACGAUCAACUACUUCUUGAAGCCCUGCGACCAUCUCUGGAUUUAAAGGAAUUAGAGAUACAGUUCAACCGAGGCAACACUGUUUUCCCCAGCUGGAUGACGUCAUUAACCAACUUAAAGAGUUUAGGUCUCUCUUUGUGCGAAAAUUGCGAGCAGUUGCCUCCUUUGGGAAAAUUGCCAUCCCUCGAACAGCUCUUCAUAUCGUACAUGUCGAGUGUGAAAAGAGUGGGUGAUGAAUUUCUGGGGGUAGAAAGUGAUCGUCAUGACUCAUCGUCAUCUUCAUUAGUUAUUAUUGCCUUCCCCAAAUUGAAAUCACUUAGAAUUGAGGGAUUGAUGGAAUUGGAGGAGUGGGAUUAUGGGAUUACAAGAACGGGAAACACCGUCAUCAACAUCAUGCCCCAUCUUUCUUCCUUGGUAAUUGAUAGUUGCUACGAAUUAAAGGCACUGCCCGAUCACAUUCAUCAAACGACGACAUUGAAGCGAUUGUGGAUUUUGAAUUGUGGGCCUCUGGGAGAACGUUACCGCACGGGGGAAGGAGAAGACUGGCCUAAUAUAUCACACAUUCCCAACAUACAUAUUCGUUAAGAAGGAUUUGCGCAUUUGAGAUUUGGCGUUGACAAGUAAUUUCUUCUCUUACUCUGAUUUGCUUUUGUUGUUGUUUUUAAUCUAGUUAAGAAGUGUAAAUAGCAUUUUGAAUCAAACUCUAUAUCAGAAAUCUGCAAUACAUACUUUCUAAUAUUCUGAUUUUCAUAUCCUAUGAAUAUACGAUUUUUAAUUUGUGAGAUGGGUAACGUUACUGUAAAAGAUUAUUAAUGCAAUAUGAGUAAUUCUUUUGCAGGACAAGUGACCUACAUUUAGUUUGGCUUUGGAGUUGAAUAAUAACCUUUCGAGGUCCCGACAAACAAAAAACGAAGCUUAAUUUGCCACAGAUUGCACGUAUUGCCAUUAUUGACAAUUUUCUGCACAAGUGAUCGAGGGUGAGGUCCUGUCCUGAAUAAAGCUCUCGUGACUGAACUUAGGUUGAUGUCAAAAGAGGUAAAUUAUCGGCAUGCCUGACUAUUUUGACCAUUACAUGAUUCAUAAAUUGAGUGAUUACUUUUCAAGGUUUGCUUACUUAACCGGGUGACCAAUUUCUUGUAACUAAAUGUAUGAUAUGAAAUGAGAAGCUUAUUAGUGGAAGGAUUGCCUGUAACAGAACCCAAAGAAAAUGAAACCAUUUCAAGGCAGCAGCCGGCAGUUGGGAGUGAAUGGAGGGCCUUCACAAAAUUCUCAAGCAGUUGCAAUGCAAUUACGAUCAUCCUCAGCCUCAGGUAAUUUCUUCUCCUGCUUUGUUUUUAUUUGUUACCUAAUUAAGAAGCAUUAUUUGUUUUUAUUUGUUACCUAAUUGAAGGACAAGUGCUGAAGAGUGGGAAUGGUGCUAUAUUGGGGAAUAAUGCAGGAGGAGGUAAAUUAUUGGGAGUUUCUUCAACCUUGUUUUCUUUGAACCAGCGCCUGAUCCACAAGACUCCGUUAAUUUGGCUUUUGAUCGGCUGAUUGAUAAAUUUUCAAUUUCUUUUGUGAUAAAUGUAUAUGUGAAGCAGGCAGCAGGACAUGACUGUGGAAAAGAGAAGAUCUUAGUGAAAGCUGAGACUCAGAUAUUUCUACAAAGUAUGUGUUUUGGCUGAUUUAUCUAAUUCAUGAAAUUUUAUUUCCAUCUGUUACAAGAUCAAACUGAAGCAGAACUCAAAGAAAAGUAUUCUACUUCUUACGGCAAUCUUGCCUUCGUUCAGAUUAUGGAACCAUUUCCAUGCAGCAAAUUCAUCCAAAAGUUUGAAUAAGUUUCAUGGUUGGACACUGUUGGCUUCUUUUUCUUUUGGGGUGCAUUUAGGUGCUAUCAAGUGACAGCCGUAAGUAUGAUUGCACUAAGCUGCUGCUGGGAAAUUCGAGGUUUUGAUGGCUGCCCACGUUAUUGUCAAGAAACUCCUCAUGUAAGAAGUUGUAGUUCUUUUCAUCAGCUUGAACCUAAAACUGUCGCUAUUGAUAACUCAGGUUUUUGUUAUCAACUAUAUCAUCUUUUUCACUGUUUUGAAACUCUUUAAGAUUAAACUUCAGUAAAGUUCUUUCAGUUAUCCACAUAAUCAGGCUGAGGAUACUUUAGUAAAGUUGCUUCAGCUAUUCAAAUGAAAAAUCUCAUUGAUUUGAGACUUCCUUCAUUAUUGUUUUUGAUUAAAAUGCUAAGGGUCCAGAUAAAAUAAUAUUUAAUUGGUGGAAGGUGUCCCUUGGAAGUACAUCAUGAUUAGCUGUUGUGCUAAUCAUGCCAAUGCAUAAUUCGGCCCCUAAUGUGGGUACUCUGUUACAUUGUUCUGCAAAUUCUCCAAAAAAGUUAAAUCAAUAAAUUUUGUAUUAGCUAGAUUAGCUCUAGGUUGUGAGGAGUCUGUCAUAUGGGAGAACCCAUUUCCAGAAAAUAUCUGGUAUUUGUUCCAGUCUUCUAAUGAAUGAAAGUUAUGAUUCCUUUUCAAAAAAAAAAAAGAAUUUUGUAUUAGUUCUAGUGCGUUGACCUAAAUGCUAUUCUAUAUUUUAGUGCCUUAAUUCUAGAACCUUGGCUCCUGCCAGAGCAUGCGGAGAUAAUGGUAGGGAGAGUGUUUGUGUAUUUUAACCAUGAUAAAGCUAAUGUUCCCAAUGAUUUCUGCUGGUGAGACUUGUGAAGAGGGUGAAUGAGGCAACUGCUAAUAUUCCUGGGUGGGAUACAGUAACUAGAGGCUGAGAUCAGGUGGUGGAAUUUUUUGUUUGAUCGAUGAUACCAGAAUUGUCCACAAAAAGUUUGUUGAUACAAAUUACAGGUGAUAGAAAGAGGUAUAGGUGGAGAAGAGAAAUCUGCGAGUCAAAUUAGGGAUAAUUGAUUUGCUGAUGCAAGUUACAUUGAAUAAUAAUAAUAACAAUUGCAUGAAGAUCCCUUAUUAAUCUUGUGUUCUCCUAUCUUUUACAUUCAGCUGGUAUACUUAAGCCUUGCUUGUGGAAUGUUUUAACCUUUAAAUUCACUACCCCUGGAUGUUGGAUUUUCUAGAACUUCAAAAUGAUUAAUGGAGAAAGAUCCCAUUAUCGAUAUCGCUAUAAGAAAUUUUAUUUAUACUUCCAAAGAUACAUUAUAUAUUUAUGUGUAUCUCUUUAUACAUGACAUUUAAGCAUCCAUAAACUGUCAGACAGAGGAAGGGGGUUGAGUGUAAAGAUUCUGUUGACCUAGGGGUUGCCUGCUUAAUGUCACUUGUUAGUGAUCUAUUAUUUAUUUCAUAUUUUGAAGAAUUUAAAGGGCAAUCCUGCUUGUUUGUGUUGUUAUCUCCUUCUAACUUACGGUCGUACCUAAAGAGCAUAGUUUCAUAUGUGUUACCCUGAGAUGUACAGAAUUUCACAUUUGCCUCAGAUUAAGCUUAAUUUCCCACAGAAUAGAGCUGUUGUGACUGAACUUAGGUUGAUGUCAAAAGAGGUAAAUUAUUGGCAUGCCUAGAUAAUUUGACCAUUUCCUAAUUCAUAAGUCUACAUUAAUUUUGAUUUUGAGUUGACUGAUUUCUUUUCAAGGUCUGCUUACUUAACGGAGUGACCAAUGUUUUUCAACUAAAUUUAUCAUAUGAUGCAGGAAGCAGGGCAGGAUAUGAAAUGAGAAGCUCAUUGGUGGAAGUAUUGCCUGUAACAGAACCCAAAGAAAAUGAAACUAUUUCAAGGCAGCAGUUGGCAGUUGCAAGUGAAUGGAGGCCCUUGCCAAAAUUCUCAAGCGGUUGCAAUGCAAUUACGAUCAUCCUCAGCCUCAGGUAAUUUCUUCUCCUGCUUUGUUUUUAUUUGUUCUCUAAUUAGGAAGCAUAAAGUAUCUUGAAUCAUUUUCUGUAUCUGGAAUAUAUGCAAGAGUUUCUAAAAUUUUGAUAUGAGUGUAAUGAUGGUAAUUUCUGUUUUCUGUCUGUCAUCAAAUGUUAGAAAACUUUCAUUGAGACCCUUGAACCGAGUCAUUUUUGACAAGUGAAGUGCUGAAGAGUGAGGAGUAAGAAUGGUGCUAGAUUGGGGAAUAAAGCAAAAGGAGGUAAAUUAUUGGCAGCUUCUUCAGCCUUAUUUUCUUUGGACCAGUGCCUAAUUCACAAGUCUCCGUAAUUUGGCUUUUGACCAGUUGAUAGAUAAAAUUUUAAUUUCAUUGGUGCUAAUGUACCCGUGAAGCAGGCAGAGAAGGACUGUGGAAAAGAGAAGGUUUUUAGUGAAAGCUUAAACUCAGGUAAUUCUAAAAAUUAUAUGUUUUGGCUGAUUUAUCUAAUCAGGAAAUUUUAUUUCCAUCUGUUACAAUAAAACAGAAACAGAACACAAAGAAAAAUAGUCUACCUCUUGUGGCAAUCUUGCCUUCAUUCAGACUAUGAAACCAUUUCCUUUCACCAAUUUCUUCCAAAAGUUUGAACACGUUUCAUGGUUGGACAUAGUUAGCUUCUUUCUCUUUUGGUGCAUUUAGGUGCUAUCAAGUGACAGCCAUAAGUAUGAUUGCAUUAUUGGGAAAUUUUAGGUUUUGAUGGCUCCCCAUGUUAUUGCCAAGAAAUUUUAAGUCCUCAUGUCAGAAGCUGCGUUUCUUUUCAUCAGCCUGAACCCGAACCUGUCACUAUGGAUAACUGAGGUUUUUGUCAUCAACUAUAUCAUCUUUUUCACUGUUUUGAAACUGUUAAGAUUAAACUUCAGUAAAGUUGUUUCAGUUAUCCAUGUAAUCAGGCUAAGGAUAUUUAGCAGCUUAUUUAGGCAACUGCCAGAAUUUAGUUUGUUCGCUCGAAACUUGUAUGGUGACAAGGAUACUGGCAAGGAUAGUGAGAUAGUUUUUUGUGUGAGUGAAUUUUGAAAGCUUGGGUGUUCUGGGAUUUGCAAUUGCAAUCAUCCUCUGCUUUAGGUGAUUUCUUCUCCUGUUCUGUCUUUAUUUUCUCUCUAAUUGAAAGCAUUUCAAUCAAAUUCUGUACCAGGAAUACGAAAAAUUUACUAAUAUUUUAUUUCCAUCUGUUUGCAUUGAUAACUUGGCCGCAUAUGUACUAGUUAAAGAACAAACAGAAGCAGAGUUCAGGAAAAAGUUUCUUCGGCCACCAUAUUUGAAAAUGAAACCAAUUCCAGGAAGCAGUUGGCAGCAAAUUCAUACAAAGUAUAGACAAUGAUGUGCAAAAAGGUGAUUCGCAAUUUCAUUUUUUUAAAAUGAAAUUAUUUGUUAAGUUGGAGCUGAUAUUGUUAGAAGGCCAUUGAGCUAACCUAUGACACUGCUUGCCUAGAUUGCAGGAGGUCAAGGCUCAAAAGAUGCACUGAAUUUUAAAAGGCAUGCAAUAAUUCUUAUGGCCAUUUGUCAAUGGUGGAAUGCUUUUAGCUUCUUUUCCUUUCGUGCAUUUUGGGGUUCUAUCAAGCGACAGCCGUAUGUAUGGAUGGAUAUAGCUGCUGCGUUGAUUUCUAAUGCGGUGGAGUAAUCGUCGUUAGAAUCUGAAUGAUAUGUCUAAGACGUUGCAUGCAUCAAGAAAAUUGCAGAUGAUUAAACCUUGCCAUCUAUGCGUUGUAUGAGGUUAUAGCAACUAUCUAUCUGGUCACCGUUUUAAAAGAAUAAGACAAAGGGAAAAAGAGAAAGAAAAGAAUGAUUCGACAAUGGCAUUAAAGUUCAACAUACCCCAAGAUCUUGUAAUAAUGCCAUUAAUCAUUUCUAGCUAGGCUAGCCUUAGAGAAAAGUGAAACUGUUGCACAGGUAGAAUCACACCCCUCAGAGAUAAUGUGUUUUUAUUCAGCUCUUCGAAUGAAUGAAGUUUAUUUUCUCGUCAAAAAAAAAACUGCUCGUUCCGCUGGUUUCAUACAAUGUCAACUAGAAACAUCAUACUUUCGUAUAAGUUCAUUAUUGUUUCUUGGAAAUAUCAGAAUAUUUCUUAGAGUUUGUAUAAAAUGAAAAGAUUUUAAAAUAUAAAUUUAAUAUUUGUUUAUUACCGUUGUUUGGUCUAAUUUCCUCGGGAGAAUUUUCAGAAUUUAUAGGACAUUAGUUUAUAAUUUGCGCAUUGACAUAUAUCUUAUUUUAUCAUUUUGAAUGAAUUGCACGGCGAGGCUUAUCAACUUUGGAUGAAUCCUCCAAUUGUCGCAGUCCAAGACUGGCUGCAGUGAGUGAAAAUUUACCCAUAUAUAUGCUGGCUAUUUUUAUUGGCGACGAAUUCGUUGUAGUUGGUCCAUCUUGCUAUUCUCGGACAAUAUUAGAGAAAAUAAUCAUAUUAUUUCGCGUGAUGUGACCUUCCAUAACUUAUCAAUUGAAUUACUGUAAAAUUAUUGUGUAAGUUUAGGCCCAAUGGCACUUUAGUUCGAUAGCCUGGAUUUAAAAGGAAAACUAUAUUGCAUUGCUUCAAAAAAAAAAAAUUAAUGUUUUUAAUAUGAAUAUUCUUAACUAUAUUCAGUUAAAAUAAUAUAUUCUUAAUAUUAAUAUUCAUAGAUGAAAUUCUUUUGUGGAUUUAAGAAUAAAAUAUCAAAUAGUUUUAUUUUUCUUUUGUUGUGUAACUUGGACCGAAAAAGAAAAUGAGCUUAACAUGACCCUCCUUCCGGCACUAUGCAUGUUUUUCUUUUAUUGAUGACAGUGCUCUUGGUGCUUCUCAUCUGCUUCUUGCUUUGGUUUCAAACAAGUCUUUCUCCGUCGAGACAUUUAUUGUAAUUUGAUUUGGAGACAUCUGUCGUUCAAAUAUAUUUCAUAUGCAAGCUGUUGAUAAUUCUGCUUGAGAAAGCCUACAAAGCAGCUGUGUGAUGUAAUAGAAGACUAUAUAUGCAAACGGUCAUCAGUUUCUCUUGAAUUCUUUCUUGAGUUUCUUUGAAUUAUUUGUGAAUGAGUUCUUAAUCGGCUGCUGCUCUUCAGGAAAAGGAAAGUGUUGCAAACUGGUGAAGCUGAUCGAUAAAAGCAAUGUACCAUCUUUGCUGGCAUGGAUCGAUGCCAGUGAGUUUUUUUAUUUGUCAACCUUUUUAAUAAUGCAUAUGUUUUUCUUCAACUUGAAGCGGCAUAUAAGACGAAAGAAGUGAUCUUUAAAGCAUUCUAUGGCAUUAUCCUUUCCUAUUAUAUAUAUCCAAUUGCUCCAAAUUAUUUGUAAAUUACUGAACACGAAUGCUGAUGAAUAAACUGAUGGCUCUAUGUAUGUAUGCACAUGCAUGGAGAAAUUUUAAGUCAGACAUUCUCAUAUAUAACUCGUGGGACCAAAUCAUUAAAUAAUCUUGAAAUCAAAGUAAUAAUUAAAUACAAAUAAAUUGCUCGAAUUGUACAUAUAUCUGAAUCAUGUAGUGAAGAAAAUACAACAACAACAACCAAUGGCUCAAAUUCCCCAUCAACUUCUAGUCUCAACACUUUUGAGUGUCAGAAGCAUUACUCUGCUACCAGUUAACAAACAUAUAAUUAGUAAUUUGCCAUUCACUUCCCUUUUAGGCCUAACACAUUUUCUAUAAAGGAGCCACAGAGUGAACUCAGCAGGAAACACUCAAUUUCAACCUACGUAGGACCAGGAAUUUCAACAAAAAAAAAAGUGUGCAAUUGCUUAUCCUAUCCUAUUGCUACUAGAAAGAAAGUGAACAAUUAAUUUCAGUGAAUAAAUUAAAAAAAAUUACUUCUGCAGAUACUCAAGCUAAGAACACAUUAACCCAUUAAAGACUCCAAAUUGCAUCAAACAAAUUGUUGUUAAACAAGUAAAACAAAGAAAGAGAGUUAAGGAAGCUGACCUAGUAGUAGGGGAGCUGAAGAAAGACUGCCAGUGAAUGUAAGAGAAAAUAAAAUGCAAGAAAUGGUGAAGUGCAGCUUUUCAUGUCAACUUGAAAUUGUUUCUUCUGUUUUUUGUAAUCUUUUGGAUUUUUCAAACAAAGAAAAUGAGGAGCAACCAGGGAGAUAAAAAGGGCGCCAAGGCAACUGUGUGUUGGGUUUAGAGCCAAAAAAAAAAAAGAAUAAGACAUCGUGUUCUUGUGGAGACCAGACCUAUUACGUAUAGGGAUGGCAAUGGGGCGGGGUGGGGGUGGGGAUGCCUACCCCAUUCCCCACCCCAUUAAAAAUUUUUGCCUCCAUUCCCCACCCCAUUCCCCAAUAAAUUUAGUGGGUUGGGGAUGGGGAAUCCCCACGUGGGGAAUGAUUCUCCCAUCCCCACCCCAUUCCCCAUUUACAUAUUUUAUAGUAGAUAUAAAAAUAUGAUUUCAGUAAAUUAAAAAUUAGAGACUUAAGAUAAAAUCAUCACAAUAUUAUAAAGUAUUUAAUUUUAAAAAAAAAUCUCUAAAAAUUUGAAACAAUAUCUUAAAAUGAUAUUAAAAGUGAAAAAUAUUUAAAGAAAGCAGCACCUUAAAAGAGAAAAGAAAAUAUAUUAAUGUUUUAAAGUUGAAAAAUAUUGUAGAAUUUUCUUUUAUUCAUAUUCUAUUUAUAUUACAUAAAAAUUAAAAAAAAUUAUUAAUUGACAUUAUAGUUGAUAAAAUAUAAAUUAUUAAAUAAGAAUUAAAAACAUAUUUAUAUAUAAUGGGGAUUGGGGUGGGAGUGGGGUGGGGAGUGCAAUACCAAACCCCACCCCGUUAACAAUUUGGGGAUUAUUUUUUCCCCACUCCCCACCCCAUUCCCCAAAAAUUAUUAAAAAAUUUCCCCAUUUGGGGUGGGGCUCCAUGGGGCCCCAAACCCGUGGAGGAUUUUGCCAUCCCUAAUUACGUAACGUCCCCUUCAAUACCACUUGUUCCGUAUCUGGUUUUUUCUUCGUCUUUUACAUAUUUAUCCUGUGAUUUUACAAUAACUAAAUAAUCCCCGCAUAGUUUGCAAUUUUAUUCAUUUGGGCCCUACAGAUUUCAGUAAUAGGAAUUAUUAAGGGACAAGAGCGCAAAACAGAAACUCUGUCCACUACUGAUGAUAUAACAACGAACCUUUGUAGUUUCUGCCUGUUAAUAUGAAUUGAUCAGGAGUGUUUCCUCACUUACAAAUUACGAAUUUACAAAAUAUGUAUGUAAGUAUGUGUGUACGUACGUGUGUAUGUAUGUACAUAUAUGCAUACACCUAUGUAACAUUUACUUAUACAUUCUUUUGAGUUUAAAUCUUAAUACACAUUUUCAUGAAAUUUUUAUUUUAUUAAGUAUACAACUACAUACAACUACAUUAAUGUAUAUAUUUUUUAUAUAAGACAUGCCGUCCUAUUAUUCAUAAGUAAACAAUGUGUUGUAAAUAGUAUUCUGUGUUUUCUCAAAGUUGACUUUUCGUCUUUUAUUUUCAGACGCAGACGCUAUGUCAUUUUGUAAUCUUCAAAACAUAUGCAGAGCAGAAUUGGUGUUAUAUGAUUUUGUGAUGCAAUAAGAUUUGCACUUCCUGUGCACUCAAUGGAAUCAUUUCUUUGUAACUAAUUGGGUGGUGGAAUGGUGGUCAAAUAUCGAACGAAGACAGAUCUAUCAAACUCCAGAAACAGGGAAACCAUGCCACGCUAGUAGACAAUAUGCUAGUAUGAACAAACUUGUUUGAAUGGCAAAAACGACAUGACCUGCUGUAGUAUUAGUUCUUUCCCGAACCAAAGGGUGAUUUGCUACGUUAGAUCAUGAAAAUUGAAAAAAAAAAUUAACCAAAAUAAAAAUUCUUACGGUAAGAAUAAAAAUUCUUAAGGAAUUAGUUAGUUAAUUGAUUGAUCGAAUUUAAUCUAAAUUGGAAAAUGAUAAGAUAAUUUUGAAUUUUUUAUUAUAAUUAUUAUUUUAAAGUGGGGUGGGUUUAUACAAUUUGAGGCUUUGAGCGGUGUAAAUAUCACUGCUGAAUUAUUAAAUAUACAGUGUAAAAUUUUGACCUUUAAAAUAUUCCUUUUUUUCAUUUAGCACUAUAAGUUUAAAAAUUUAACAUUUUACCUCAAUAAUUAAAUACUUUUAACUUUAAUCUUCAAAUAUUUACCCUACAACAUUCGGACCUAAAUUUUUAAUCCGACUCGGCCCCUGACCCAAGUGGGAAGAAGAUCAGGCUUAUAAGUUAUAACUAUCACCAACAUAACAUCUUCUGGAAAAUAAUAAGAUUACUCACCUGCAAUUAUGUGAUCAAACUAAUGGUAAGCAAAAUAGAACAGCGUUAUUUCAGUCCCCUUUCAGUUUCUUUAUCAUUUUUCUUUUCCUAUUUAUAAGCUUAAUUCGGUCCAAUAUCGGCUAAUUCACUUUGAUUUCACUUUUCUUUCUUUCGGUUCAAAAAAAUUGAACCCAUUGGCUGUCAAUUCAAUUUUGUUGAAAACCAACUUUGCCUGAAUUUGAGUAAUAAUAGAGGAAAAAAAAAGUGUACUUAGCAGAAGAGAUUUCUCAUUUUUUUCUCAUUCAAACUUCUAAAAUAAAGGGAAAAAAAAAACAAGAGUAAUUGUUAAUUAUCAAAAAUUUGUUUAUACUAUUCCACCAAGAAAAUUAUAAAAAAAAAAUUUAAAAAUUGGAGAAGAAAUAUGAGGUGAAAUACGUGGAUGGCUUAGACUAAUAAUGUGAACAAAUUCCUCUCGGAAACAUGUCAUUGUUCAUCCGGACAACACGCGGCAAUGAGAUUCAAGAAUUAAAUGAUAGGAAUCAACUGUAACCUCAUAAACAAAUGGCCUUGGAGUUGUAAACACCAAGCUCGGCAGAUUAAUUAAACAAGAAUAUCCGAAUUUUCUAUGAUAAUCUCUAGGAAACGAUCAGCUAUAAUAUACGAAAUUAAAAUAUUGCAUAUAUUUUUGAACUCAUGCAUUAAUUUCAAAAAUUAUAUCGUAUUAUAAUUUAUUCACAAAAGAAAGAAAAAUUCACUAAUCAAUUGAAUAAAUAUAAGUAUUUCAUCCAGUGUAAUACUUAUAUCAAUUGAAUAAAUAUAAGAAAAAUCACCAAAAUUCACUAAUCAAUUGGAUAAAUAUAAGUAUUUCUUCCAGUGUAAUUUUUGUUUAAUAGAAAAUCUAUUUGAGAUUUUGUGAGAAGAAACUCAACAAUAAAGUGUGAUAGACUUUGUGGGUAUUAAGAGUUUGACAAGUAUUUGAAAUCUGAAGUUUACGAGCAAACAAACUGAAAUCCGAAGUUUACUGAAGUUUACUAUCAAGAGUUUCAAAACAGUGAAAAAGAUGAUAUAGUUGAUGACAAAAACCUGAGUUAUCCAUAGCGACAAGUAACAUACUGAAGUAAGCCGUUGGGAGCUGGCCUGUUCAUGGGCUAUUUUUCUCUGAUGAUCUGCAUUUUUCUUCCUUUUAAGUGAACCUUGACUCGUAUCAAACCUGUCAAAAGAACAGUUCAUCAACUGAGCUGAGAUUUGCUUUCCUUUUUCAAAACCCACCUGAGAUAUUGUAAUUCCCAAAUUUCUCUCUCUCAGCUACACGAGCAAGCAGCCGCUUUUUCACUUCAUCGAAGAAGGUAAGCGAUAUAUCUAUUUCGUCCGAUUGAUUUCUUGUUUCCUUUUCAGUGUUCCGGUAAAUUAUUGGCAUGCCUGACUUUUUGACCAUUACACGAUUCAUAAAUUUAUAUUAAUUUUGAUUUUGAGUUGACCGUUUACUUUUACAGGUUUGCUUACUUUGACUAGGUGACCAAUUUCUUGUAACUAAAUUUAUGACGUGGGCAGGAUAUGAAAUGAGAAUCUUAUUAGUGGAAGGAUUGCCAGUAACAGAACCCAAAGAAAAUGAAACCAUUUCAAGGCAGCAGUUGGCAGUUGGCAGUGAAUGGAGGCCCCUGACAAAACUUCAGUAAACUUCAGAUUUCAGUUUGUUUGCCCGAAAAUUGCAUGGUGACAAGGAUACUGGCAAGGAUAAUGAGAUAGUUUUUGUGUGAAUGAAAUUACGAUCAUCCUCAGCCUCGGGUAAUUUCUUCUCCUGCUUAGUUGUUAUUUGUUACCUAAUUAAGAAGCAUAAAGUAUCUUGAAUCAUUUUCGUUGUCCGGAAUAUAUGCAACAGUUUUUUACGAUCAUCCUGAAUGACUACUAGAGACAGUCAAGCUAAUGACUAUAAAUUAAGCGCUUCUUGGGAGGUAACCCAAGCUUUCUAAACUUUAUUAUUGUCAAUUUUUUUUCAUAUUUUUUUCUUUUCUUUUACUUAUUUUAUUUUGUUUUAUCUAGAUUUUGCACGAGUUCGAGGGUCGAUGAACAUCAACUUUCCACAUGUCUUUCAACGGCUUAGCUACAACUUUACAUCUUCAAGUGCAAAACCGGGGGAGUUUCUCUUUUCCUUUUCUUUUUCUUUACAUUGAGGACAAUGUUUAUUUUAAGUUUGGGGGUGGGAAUAUUUGCUUUUCAUUUUUUUCCCAAAAAAAAAAGAUUUUAAUGCCUAUGAUGAGUUUAUGAUUGAAAAUGAAUAUGGUUCUUAGAAAGGGAUGAAUAUUAUCUUAGUUUAUACUUGAUUCUUGUGUUAGUUUCGUCUUGAUUGAGAUUCUUUAAAGCGAUUCUUUUAGAAUUUUGACUUGAGAUUUGAGAUUGAUACAGCCUAAGUUGAGAAUUUUAGAUUGAGUAAAUGAUUGUUUGCCUCGAUUCUACAUUACUUAAGUUUACCCAGGCACCAUAGUCAGAAAUAGCUACCUACAACCCUUAAGAGUGAAGCUAUCCUCGAGUAAUUUGGGCCUAUGUAUCACCAGUAUGUAGAGGAUAAUCUACCAUGAGAAGAAGGUUACCUUAAGGGGUAGAGUGAAAGCUCCUGACUAUGGACAAAGAAAUGAAAAAAAAAAAGAAAAAAAAAAGAGCACGAGCUUCAAGAAAAAUCAAAAGAAAAUGCUAAUUUAUGCCUGAGAAAAAAAAAAAAAGAUCAAGAUGAUGAGGUUAGUUUGACCUACCCUGUUUAUUAUUCGAGACAAGGGCUGUUGAUGUUGAAGAUCUUGAGAAUGAGUUUUGAUUGAAUUGAUUCACACACAACACAUGAAUCCAAUAUGAGAUGAGGCUGACCAUUGAAUUAAAGUUAGAACUUUGCUAGUAUUUUUAAUUUUCUUUGAGCUAUAUACUUUAUGCAAUCUUUGAGGCAUUUUUUAUGAUGUUUGUGGGUAUCAUCGCUGGAAACCCUCACGAGACUAUAACUCGUCCACUAGGGCCGCCUAGGGGUUUAAAGGCUUGUUGCAUACGCUAAAUGCAAUCGCGAUCACCUGCGAAAGUGGUUUAGUUAGAAUUUUCUUUUCGUAGUUUUUAUUUUAGUUUUUGCUCGAGGACUAGCAAAAUGUUAAGUUUGGGGGUAUUUGAUGUGCUCAUAAUUUAUCUAUUAUUUUAAUGCUUCCAUAACUUAAUUUUAUGUUAAAUUAUAUUUUAUUAUAUUAAUUUUUAUCUUAAUUUUUAUAUUUUGUCAUUGUAGGAAUAUUGAGAAUAUUCAUGAGAAAAGAAGCUUAAAGAGGAAACAAGUUGGAGUAUAAUGGAAAUAAUGUGGAAGCAAGAGGGAAAGAAAUAAAAAGCCAAAUCAAAGAAAAUUUAAUUUAAGCAUCAUGCAUGCAGUCACGUGAUGAAUAAAGGAAGAGAAGAAAAGGUCAAUAGGCUUUUAAUUUCAAGCUAGUUACGUAGAGCCCAUUUGACAAUUUAAAUGGCAAGCUUACAAUAUAUUAAAGGAAGCAAAUAUUUUGGCAUUGUUUGAAAAGGCUAUUCACGUGGAUGGGCUUUGGUUUCAAUUUUGAUUGGCUUAGGAAUGAAAUAGGCGGCUGGGCUUUUGUUUUUAAUUCCUUUCAUAAGAGGAUUUGACAAGCCACAACAUUAUAAAAAGGGAAAAGCCAAGCGGAAGCCAAAAAAAAAAAAAAAAUAAUAGAGCAGCAGCCGCAAGUUUUGAGCAAAACCGAGAGCAGCAUGAAUAAUUUGGAGCAGAAGGAAGACACAUUAAUUCUUGAGUUUUUCUUUCUCUCUUCUCUAUUAUCUUAUUUGAAUGUUUCCCAUUAAAUUCAUGGAUUAUCUUUAUAUUCCCAUGAACUAAUUUAUUUUACUAGAGCUACGAUGUCCUAGUGUUUUAAUCUCUUGGUGAUUUCUAUUACUGCUUGCAUCUUUAUUUGAUUUUUAGUUAUUUUAAUUUUUAAUUUAAAUUCGCUUAUUUGAUUGUUCAAAUAAAUUAGGGUUAGGAUAAUUUCGGUAACUAAUAGGAUAUUCAAUCUCAGUGGGAUGAUACUCUACUCUUCACUAUAUUACUUGUGCCGACUAGUACACUUGCUAAUUUAUGCAAUAGUUGACAGUUGGGAGUGAAUGGAGGCCCUUGACGAAACUUCAGUAAACUUCAGAUUUCAGUUUGUUUGCUCGAAACUUGCAUGGUGACAAGGAUACUGGCAAGGAUAAUGAGAUAGUUUUUGUGUGAAUGAAAUUAUGAUUAUCCUCAGCCUCAGGUAAUUUCUUCUCCUGCUUAGUUGUUAUUUGUUACCUAAUUAAGAAGCAUAAAGUAUCUUGAAUCAUUUUCGUUGUCUGGAAUAUAUGCAACAAUUUUUAAAAUUUUGAUAUGAGUGCAAUGAUUGUAAUUUCUGUUUUCUGUCUGUCAUCGAAUGUAAGACAACUUUAUUAAGAUUCUUGAACCGAGUCAUUUUUGACAAUUGAAGGACAAGUGCUGAAGAGUGGGAAUGCAAAAAGUUUUGUUGUUUUUAGCCUUGUUUUCUUUGAACCAGCGCCUGAUUCACAAGACUCCAUUAAUUUGGCUUUUGAUCAGCUGAUUGAUAAAUGUUCAAUUUCUUUGGUGAUAAAUGUAAUUGUGAAGCAGGCAGCAGGGCAUGACUGUGGAAAAGAGAAGAUUUUAGUGAAAGCCGAGACUCAGAUAAUUCUACGCGUUUUGGUUGAUUUAUAUAAUUCGUGAAAUUUUAUUUCCAUCUGUUACAAGAUCAAACUGCAAUUAGCAAUUUAACAUUCCCUUAAAACCACUAGCUACAUUUCAUCUUUGCACAAUUACACUUAAAAUUCCACUAAAAGAAACUCUUGAGUUGCUCGCAAGCUAUAUAUCAUUAUUCAUUGAAUUCUUACUGUUGAUGCGAGAUUCUGGUUACACUCUUCCGGCUACCAGGAUAUCUGCUCGAUCAACCUCACCUCGACUAGGAUCUCUCCUCGUAUGCUUUCUUCUCCAAGUACUCAUGCGUUCACAGAAACAAGUCAGAGCACGCCGGUUGUUUUCCCGGCGUAAACCCUCCGACGCUCAAGUCAGAUAUGAAGGCUUUGGGAACGCUUGCCACAGAUCUUAUGGCUUUGUAAAUAGUUUUCUCUUCUUUUCAAUUUCCUUAAUCUCUCUUCUAAUCUCGAAAUUGCUAACCCUUUUACCUUCGCUGGCUACCUUUUUAUAGGCCACUUCUGAGCCCAGGCCUUUUUCCCUUUGCGCUCGUCAUCCUCCCACUUCUCGAAAGUGGAUGCUCCAUUUCCGUAGUCGUGGGUGGUUGCGUGGCCCUCGUGCCUAGAUUCUCGGACUGGAAAGCAUGCCACGCCAACUGUCGUUGACCGGGUCUUCUCGAAUCAACCCUUAGCAGGAAUACAGCAGGAAUGGCUUCAGGCUUCUUAUAGGAGAUUGGCCUCGCGGAUGACGUGCUCGUGGACGAGCAGGGUAUUCCUGCUCCUGCUCCUGCUCCCCCGGAUGCCAGGCUCUUACGGGACCCAUCGGCUCGCAGAACUCUACCAUCAGAUAUCUGCUCAUCAUGCCUGGUCUCGUCGACGUAUUUCUCCUAAACACCGGUCCCCCAGUUUCUGGUGUUGGGUAAUGUAGUGGACCAGCAGUAGAAACUCGACAGUACUUGCUCGCGUGGGGUUGGAAAAGGCUUCCAAGAGUCAUGUCGCAUUUAAUUGCGGACGAGGUGAUGUGGCAGAGAUCUAACCCUCCAUUUGAAUUUCAAACCAACGGUUACGAGACCCUUGGGAUUUGGUGCCGUUAAAUGCUGGCAACCCAAGAUUUCGUCCCCAUUAGGAAACCCAAAUCCUUUCGAACGACAAAUUCAUCAUUCACUCCGUCUCCAUCUCUGUCUCUCCGGCAAAGAAGUUCCAGCAUAAAGGCCUCCAUCUCUGUCUUUCACCGACUGAACCAUUACUUCAGGUAUUUCUUCUAUUUCCUUAGUCUCGGAUAGUUGUAGAUAAUUUCUCUUCUCUUUUGCUUGGGUAGUAGUUGGUGGUGGUGUUGUGGUUAGAGCUUAGGGAAUGUCGAAAGGCAAAGAGAAUGUCAUUGAGGUUGACGACGAUGAGUUGGACUUCCUGCCUAGUUUGCUCACCGAUCCUGCUUUUGACCCCGGGAUCCCCUUAGAGCUCAUUAGAUCUAGUGUUGGCACUAGCGCUAGGAGGAUGUCCCCCCAAACAACCUCCACGAGUGGAAGUAGUGGUGAGGAGAGACCCUCUGGCUCGGAAGACACCCUAAGUGAGGAUCAAUGAGGUGACUCUGGGGAGGGGUCUUCACCAGGAACACCGCGACCAGAAGGGUGUAGUACAGUAGGAGGUAGAGCCUUGUCGCGGGAUUAUGCCAUUGAUUACAUGACCUGUACGACCACAUUCAACGAGCUGGAUGACCUCCGGCUCAGGUAUAGCAUUCCUGGUGAAAUUCCUCUCAAGAUCCCAGGAAAGAAGGAUACACCUAGCCGGCCUCCUCGGGGAUACGUUACCCUAUUUUUGGAGAGUUUUAGGCAUGGGCUGAGGUGUCCCUUGCAACCCUACUUUGCCCGGAUUCUUAACGGGCUAAACCUAGCUCCUGGUCAGCUGAACCCCAACGGGUGGAGAGUGCUCUCUGGUCUGUUCAUACUGUGGGACAGAUGUUGUCAAAGCGAGCCCACGGUCGACGAGGUGAAGCACCUGUACCAACUGAAAAGCAGCCCCAAAGACGUCGGCUGGUAUUACUUCCAAUCAAGUACCAAGAUCAGAAAACCCAUAACCGAUCUUCUUACUGGUGAUGGUGGGAAUUGGAAGAGGAAGUUCUUCUUCGCAGGGGGUCCCUUGUUGUUUGCACUUCACUGGUUUGUCUCUAAUCAAAUGUUUGUUUGUGUUGCAGGUUCUUGGGGUGUCCACUUCCCGCUUAAACCUGACCAGCUCAAACGAGUCGAGGCUGUACUAGCCAAUUCCUGCUCGAACCGAGAGCUGUUAACUAUAUACAACUUGCUCGAGUCUCGCUUGAUGCUUCCUGGCCAUAGGAUGGAGGACGCUGUGAUUGGGGCUCUGACCAGGAAACGUUCUCGACCUCCAACCACGAAGAGGGACCAGAGUAAGGACGCCCCUACUGCAAAGCGGGCCAACGUCGUGCAGCAGGUCUCUCCCUUGAAGACUUUACCUCCUGCUCCUGUCAAAGUCGGGGAAACUAGUGGAGCAGCCACAGAUCCUGCUUCCUCUUCUUCUCCUGUCGGCACUCGGUCUCGCUUACCUGACAGCCGAUCAGAACAAUUGGUCCCCUAUCUCAAUGAGUUAUCUAACCUCGUGAGCAAGAAUGACAUGGAGGACUUCGAUGGCUGCACCUUGGGUGAGCUGGUGGGGGCCAUGCAGUAUAGCGCUUUUCACCUCAGCUGCAUGACCACCUAUUACAAGGCCAAGGUUGGGCGCUACGACCGAAAGAUGAAGGAGGACAUUCAAUCGGCGACGACUAGAGCUGGCGUUGCCGAGAAAAAGGCAGGGGAGCUGAAUGUUGAGAACCUCAAGCUGAUGGAGCAGGAAUCUCUUGCUCAAGCAAAAGCCAUUACCCUCGAGGAGGAGCUGACCAAGGUCAAGGGGGAUCUGCAAAGGCAGAAGGCCACGUAUGAGGCUCAGCUCGAAUCCCUCCGCGACUCCCACCGGGCUCACGUCGAGAACUUGGAGAGGGAGGCCAAGAACCAGUAUGACCAGGGACUUCGGCAUUCCUAUCGUUGCAUCAUGGCCGUCCUCGGGAAGCAGCACCCUGAUCUGAAGAUGGAUGAUCUUGCAGUUGGUGUUGCUCAACAUAUGGACGAGGAAGCGGCCAAGGAAGAUGCCGAAGGGGUAGAGCCGAUCGUGAUUGAGGGGGAAAACUCUCCUCCUCGCACAAUCCCUGCUGACGUUGGCGAGGCGAGCACCGCUACUGAUGUUGGCGAGGCGCGCACCCCCCCGGACGCAACUGGUGAUACCCCCCCCCCGCACCUGAGGAGGUCCAGCCAACCAAUGCUGCUCGGCUUACUGAUCCGCCAUCUUCUUGAUAUAUUUCUUGUAUUGUAAUGAACAACGUUGAUGGAGAUUAUCUCCUCUGUUAAUUAUUAACACAUAAAUAAAGAUGUUUUUGAUUAUUUUCGUGUUGUAAUCAUGAGUUAUUUUUCGUUUAAUAAUCUGCCCGUCAUCGUCUGGUUGAGCAGGUUCUGGCCUGGCAUAUGGUUUUACCACAUGCCCUAGAAAAUUCUUCAAUGAUUGAGAUUCUGCUCGCCUUCGCGUGGUCGAGCAGAUCCUGGCACGCUUGGCUUCUGUCUCGCCAUAAACAGGCUUUGAGACUCGACGAGCCUUUGCAUGCCUUAGAAAUAUUUUUUUUUUUCGAUGCUUGGGGGUUCUGCUCGCCUUCGCGUGGUCGAGCAGACCCUGGCACGCUUGGCUUCUGUCUCGCCAUAAACAGGCUUUGAGACUUGACGAGCCUUUGCAUGCCUUAGAGAUUUUUUCGAUGCUUGGGGAUUCUGCUCGCCGUCACGUGGUCGAGCAGAUCUUGGCACGCUUGGCUUCUGUCUCGUCAUAAACAGGCUUUGAGACUUGACGAGCCUUUGCAUGCCUUGGAGAUUUUUUCGAUGCUUGGGGAUUCUGCUCGCCGUCACGUGGUCGAGCAGAUCCUGGCACGCUUGGCUUCUGUCUCGCCAUAAACAGGCUUUGAGACUUGACGAGCCUUUGCAUGCCUUAGAGAUUUUUUCGAUGCUUGGGGAUUCUGCUCGCCGUCACGUGGUCGAGCAGAUCCUGGCACGCUUGGCUUCUGUCUCGCCAUAAACAGGCUUUGAGACUUGACGAGCCUUUGCAUGCCUUGGAGAUUUUUUCGAUGCUUGGGGAUUCUGCUCGCCGUCACGUGGUCGAGCAGAUCCUGGCACGCUUGGCUUCUGUCUCGCCAUAAACAGGCUUUGAGACUUGACGAGCCUUUGCAUGCCUUAGAGAUUUUUUCGAUGCUUGGGGAUUCUGCUCGCCGUCACGUGGUCGAGCAGAUCCUGGCACGCUUGGCUUCUGUCUCGCCAUAAACAGGUUUUGAGACUUGACGAGCCUUUGCAUGCCUUGGAGAUUUUUUCGAUGCUUGGGGAUUCUGCUCGCCGUCACGUGGUCGAGCAGAUCCUGGCACGCUUGGCUUCUGUCUCGCCAUAAACAGGCUUUGAGACUUGACGAGCCUUUGCAUGCCUUGGAGAUUUUUUCGAUGCUUGGGGAUUCUGCUCGCCGUCACGUGGUCGAGCAGAUCCUGGCACGCUUGGCUUCUGUCUCGCCAUAAACAGGCUUUGAGACUUGACGAGCCUUUGCAUGCCUUAGAAAUUUUUCACAGUUUCAAGUGAAUGAAAUUCCUCGACGUUCCAUUAAUUGUAGGAUUCAACUUACAUGAAAAUGUUUGGUCGUAAAAUAAAUAACAGCAAAUACGAACAGAAAGAUCUUGAAAAUAUUAACGACUCUUACUGGAAAUAUUUCCUGAGAUGUGCUGCGUUCCAUGGGCGCUUCACCUCGUGGCCAUCCAUGCGAACCAGCUUGUAAGCUCCUGGUCCCACUAGCUGCUUGACUCUAUAUGGCCCCUCCCAAUUUGGACCGAGCACUCUUUGAGUCGAGUCUUUGGUGUUCUGAUUCACUCUCCUUAACACCCAAUCUCCGACCUUGAACUGCCGUAUGUUCACCUUCUGGUUAUAAUACCGGGCAACCCUCUGCUGGUAAAUGACUGAUCGCUCGGCUGCUUGCUCCCUCUUUUCCGUUAGCAGAUCAAGAUUCAAACAUAUCUGCUCGUCGUUCUCCUGUUCAUUGAAAUGAUAUGUCCGGUGCGUGGUCGUUCCUAUCUCAGUUGGCACGACCGCUUCAUGUCCAAAAGCCAAGGCGAACGGUGUCUCCCCAGUUGCUGUUUUGUGGGUUGUUCUGUAUGCCCAUAGCACACCUGACAGCUCAUCAACCCAUGCACCCUUUUUUGCUCCCAGCCUGGUUUUCAAAAGCCUCUUGAUGGUCUUGUUGGCUGCUUCUACUUGUCCAUUCGAUUGGGGGUGAGCAGGCGAGCAAUACUUCAGCUCUAUUCCGAGGUUCUGGCAGAAAUCCCUGAAGCUGUGAUUAUCGAAUUGUCUGCCAUUAUCCGUUACCAGGGCAUAAGGGAUCCCGUAUCGACAGACCAGGUUUCUCCACACAAAGUCUGUUGUUUUCUUCUCUGUGAUCUUGCUAAGGGCUUCUACCUCUAUCCAUUUCGUGAAGUAGUCUAUAGCAACUAUUGCAUGUGUUGCUGCUCCUCGUCCCUUUGGCAGCGGGCCGAUCAGAUCAAUUCCCCAUUGAGCAAAUGGCCAAGGGGAGGCCAUAGAGGUGAGCUUUUCUGGUGGUUGGUUGGAGAAACUUGCAAAACUCUGGCAACUUACACAGCUCCUGGUCUUCUCCUGUGCAUCCUGGUGCAUUGUCGGCCAGAAAUAUCCCUGCCUUAGAACCUUGUGGGCCAGGGACCUCCCACCAGAAUGAUUCCCGCAAAUUCCUUCAUGUACUUCUCUCAGUACGUAAUCUGCGUCGUCCUCAUCCAAACAUCGGAGGAAAGGUAGUAUAUAUCCUCGCCGAUACAGUACCCCAUCAAUCAUCGUGUAUCUUGAGGCCUGGGCUCUAACCUUCCGAGCUCGCAGCUUAUCUGGUGGUAAUACCCCGUCUCUGAGGUAUGAAAUUAUCGGGUCCAUGCACGAGCAUUUUUGUUCUAUCCGCAACACCCCCAAAUUCUGCUCGAUACUUGGGCUGGACUUCACCUCCAGAGGGACCGACUUUGGCAUUUUUGGGUCGGCUACUGCUGCCAUCCUGGCCAAAGUGUCUGCUCGACUAUUCUGCUCCCUGGGGAUCUGUAUCACCUCCACUGCUUCAAAUUUCCCCAUCAUCUGCCUGACUAUCUUCAGGUACUGCUCCAUCUUCUUCUCUCUUGGUUGGAAUCUUUCGCUGACAUGAUUCGCAACCAGCUGGGAAUAAGUUCUGAUCUUCACUCUGUCUGCUUUCACGGCCUUAGCCAAUUCCAAACCUGCUAUCAAGGCUUCAUACUCUGCCUGGUUAUUUGUGGCUCCAAAUUCCAACUUCACAACAUAAGAGAUCUCCUCCCCCUCCGGGCCUUCCAAGACAAUCCCUGCUCCAGAACCCUGCUCCCCUGAUGACCCAUCCACAUACAUCUGCCAUACUUGAGCUUCGCCACUGUCUGUGACUACAUCUGGUCCAUCUAAACAUACUUCGGGCUCUGUGAAUUCAGCUACGAAAUCGGCCAUUGCCUGAGCCUUUAUCGCUGCUCGGGGUUUGUAGUCUAUGUCGAACUCGCUCAGCUCUAUAGCCCACUUGACGAGCCGACCAGAAGCAUCUGGCUUGUGCACAGUUUGACGCAAUGACUGGUUUGUUAUUACCGAGACCGGGAAUGCUUGGAAAUAUGGCCUCAACUUCCGAGCCGCAACCACAAGGGCAAGUGCCCAUUUCUCCAACGGUGGGUAUCUGGUCUCAGCGUCGAGCAGGGCCUUGCUUGUGUAGUAUAUCGGAUACUGAACUCCUUCUUCCUCUCUCACCAGAACAGAACUGGCGGCCCGAUCCGAUACCGCCAAAUACAGAUAUAACUUGUCCCCAUCCCUCGGUGUGGACAGUAGUGGAGCUUGCUGCAAGUAUUGCUUCAAGUUCUGGAAGGCUUCCUCGCAUUCUGGUGUCCAUUCUGUUUUCUUUCCCCUCCUUAUCACUUAAAAGAAUGGCUGACACUUGUCUGUAACCUUGGAUAUGAAUCUGCUCAACGCAGCCAACCUCCCCGUGAGGCUCUGCAUCUCCUUCAGGUUACGAGGAGACCUCAUCUGCACAAUUGCCUGGAUUUUCUCCGGAUUUGCUUCAAUCCCCCUAUGGCUCACCAUGAAUCCAAGGAAUUUCCCUGACUCGACCCCAAAAGCACACUUCUCCGGGUUGAGCUUCAUCUUAUACUUCCUCAAAAGCCCGAAUGUCUCCUCGAGGUGCCUGACAUGUUCCUUCGAGAUUUUGGAUUUGGUGAUCAUGUCGUCCACGUACACCUCCAUGGUUUUCCCAAUCAACGGCUUAAAGACUUUGUUCACCAGCCUCUGAUAGGUGGCCCCAGCAUUUUUUAGACCAAAUGGUAUUACCCUGUAACAGAACAAACCCUGGUUAGUGAUGAAAGCCGUGCUCUCCUCAUCCUGCUCGUACAUGGGGAUUUGGUUGUAUCCCGAGAACGCGUCCAUGAAACUAAGCAGACCGUGUCCAGCCGUUGAAUCUACUAGUUGAUCGAUCUUUGGUAAAGGGAAGCUGUCUUUUGGGCACGCCUUAUUAAGGUCUGUGAAAUCCACACACAUCCUCCACUUGCCAUUUGCCUUCUUUACCAACACCACAUUCGAUAUCCAUUCAGGGUAAUUGACUUCCCGAAUGAACCCUGCUCUCAAGAGCUUCUCCACCUCGACAUUUAUAGCCUCAUACCUCUCCUGAUUGAAGCACCUCCUCUUCUGCCUUACUGCCCGAGCACCUUUCUUUAUUGCCAGCUUAUGACAUGCUACCUCAGGGUCAAUCCCUGGCAUAUCUUCAUGUGUCCAAGCAAACACAUCUGCAUGAGCCUGUAAGCAUUUCACUAACUCCUGCUUUUGCUCUCCCUUAAGUCUCGACCCGAUUCUGAUUGUUUUUCCCGGAUUCUCUGGUCCCAGGCUUACUGUUUCCAGAUCCUCUACAGGUUCUUGUCUGCCAUUCUUGUUUUCCACUCGGGUAUCGAGGGAUGUUAUCUGCAUUGCUUCCCUUGCUGCUGAGGAGUAGCAGCUUCUUGCGAUCCUCUGAUCUCCUCGUACCACUCCAACUACCCCAUUCACCCGGUACUUCAGAGCCAGAUAAUGGUUGGACAGCAUCGCUUUGCUCAUCCUCAGAAAUGGCCGACCUAGGAUCAUCUGGUAAGGACCUUCCUCAUCCACUACCAUAAAGUCCAGUAUCAUUGUCCUUUCUGUCGGGGAGCUCCCAAUCGUGAUAGGCAGCUCGACCAUGCCCAGAGGGACCAGCCUUCCUCCUCCAAACCCCUUCAAGGAGGUAUUGGUGUAAUCCAACUUCAGGUCUGCUAUUCUCAUCUCCUUCAGGGUUGACUUAAACAACACAUCAACUGAACUCCCUGUGUCAACCAGUAUCCUGUCAAACUUCUUGCUAGCAACAGUGGCCUUGAUGACCAAAGCAUCCUCGUGGGGGUAUAUGAUCCCUUCUUCAUCCUCAUCUGUCCACAUGAUUGGCACUUGCCUGACUCUUGCACGUUUGGCUGCUGGGGUGUUGAAGAAUACCUUUUUGCUGGUCAUGGCGUAUCUAGCAUAAUUUUUCCUCGAUCUGUUAGAAUCUCCGGCCAAUGUUGGGCCCUCAGCUAUAACCCUUACUGCAGGCUGCUCGCGCCUCAAGUUCCUGUCACUCUGCUCCCCUUCACUUGUUGAGGCUACCAUUGGGAAGGUCCCAUCUACGAACUCGUCCAGAUACCGAUUUCUCACUAAAUCUUCAACCUGGGUCUUAAGAUCUCUGCAAUCUGCUGUGGUGUGGCCAUGAGUGCCAUGGAACUUACAAUAGCGUCCCCUAUCCCUCAUGCUGGGUAGCUUGGUUAUUGGAGCAGGGAGGUAUAGCAACCCCCGAUCCUUUAUGGCCUCGUACACCUCGUCCAGGGACAUCUUCAAGGAAGUGUACCGCCCAUAGUCCUAGUUCUGGUCGAUCAGGUGUACUGCUCUUUCUCUGUUUGCUCCGUUCUGGGUUGGGGGCGGUGGCAGUACUUCUGGUCUGCUCCCUCUGCUACCGUGGGAGUGUUGAUGAGCACCAUAUGAUGAAUCAUGCCUUCUCCAAGGCUCCCUAGCUGUGGAACGAGGAGGCUGCGCCCUGCUGCGCUGAUACUGUGGUGGGCUCUGAUGAGGCUGGUAAGCAAUUACCCGACCUCCUGCUCCAUUACCCGAGGCCUGGUGGUCCCUCCUCCUGAUCGGCCCAUUCCCCGGUAAUGCUUUCUUCUCUUUCCUCCCCAACCCUUCUAACUGGUCUAUCUUAAUUCGUGCUGCCUUCUCCUCUUCAAUCUCAAUGUCUCUCUUAGCCUGCUCGUAUGCGGCCGCAUACGUCUGGAUAGCUGGGCUUCUCAAAUUGUACCACAGCCUUCCUAUCUUCACCCUUUCUUUCAAUCCCCUUAACGCCUGAGGGUGGUUGAAGGCUCCCAAGUCGAGGACAGCCCGAUGAAACCUCUUGAUGAAUUCCCGAAGGGUUUCUUGCUCCCCCUGUUUCAUGCUUUUCAGCUCCAUCAUGUCAUCUUCUGGGGCCAUUGCCCCACUAAACUGCUCUGCGAAUUCCUGGCACAUCUGCUCGAAGGUUUUAAUGCUGCCCCGAGGAAGUUUCCUGUACCACUCGCGUGCACGUCCCUCCAGGGAUAGUGGAAACACCCUGCACCUUUGGGGCUGAGAUAAUCCUUGUACCCCCGUUAUGUCAUUGAAGCGUUCUAUGUGCACCAGCGGAUCAGUUCGUCCCGAAUAUCUAAGGUCCGGGAGACGGAAAUCCCUCGGAAUAAUUGCCCUCAUGAUCUCUGCUGCGAGCAGUGAUUCUCCGUCCAGCAUUAUCCUCCAACCAGGAGCUCUGCUCCUUCCUUGCAUAUCGUCAAUUAUCUGCGCUAGUCUGCGCACUUCCUCCUCCAGCUGUACUGCACGACCAGGGUCACGUGCUGCAACUUGAUCCCUCUCUUGCUCUACAUCAUGCAAGUGUUGCCUCAACUCUGUUUCUUCUGCAUUCGCCACCCCGUCGUCCUCGUAAAAAAUCUGUCUUGCCGGGGAUUGCUCUUCUUCUCUAUGAAAUUCUCCCCGUAGAGGUAUGUUACCUCUCUCACCACUAAAUCUCCCGGUGGUUUGACUUCUCCUCGUACCAUCGGGACCUGGUGUCACUCCACCACCUCUCACCAUUUCCUCCUGGGUUACCCUUCGUUCACUCCGCAACUCAUGCAGGAUGGUUGUCAGGGUCUCCAUCUGCUUUUCCAUCCGUUCCAUCCGGUCGAACAUGGCUUUUUCCCGUGCUUCGCUGGCUAUCUCCCUCAGCGUUACAGAAUCGUUAAGCCUCAUAUCACCCCCUUGUGCACUACUUCCUCCUGCCUCCAUUGCUUUUCACUUGCUUCACUCCUCUUCUUGCUAUCAACAGAAGCUUUUUGCUCAGCUCCCCACAGACGGCGCCAAAAUGUUGAUGCGAGAUUCUGGUUACACUCUUCCGGCUACCAGGACAUCUGCUCAAUCAACCUCACCUCGACCAGGAUCUCUCCUCGUAUGCUUUCUUCUCCAAGUACUCCUGCGUUCACAGAAACAAGUCAGAGCACGCCGGUUGUUUUCCCGGCGUAAACCCUCCGACGCUCAAGUCAGAUAUGAAGGCUUUGGGAACGCUUGCCACAGAUCUUAUGGCUUUGGAAAUAGUUUUCUCUUCUUUUCAAUUUCCUUAAUCUCUAUUCUAAUCUCGAAAUUGCUAACCCUUUUACCUUCGCUGGCUACCUUUUUAUAGGCCACUUCUGAGCCCAAGCCUUUUUCCCUUUGCGCUCGUCAUCCUCCCACUUCUCGAAAGUGGAUGCUCCAUUUCUGUAGUCGUGGGUGGUUGCGUGGCCCUCGUGCCUAGAUUCUCAGACUGGAAAGCAUGCCACGCCAACUGUCGUUGACCGGGUCUUCUCGAAUCAACCCUUAGCAGGAAUACAGCAGGAAUGGCUUCAGGCUUCUUACAGGAGAUUGGCCUCGCGGAUGACGUGCUCGUGGACGAGCAGGGUAUUCCUGCUCCUGCUCCUGCUCCCCCGGAUGCCAGGCUCUUACGGGACCCAUCGGCUCGCAGAACUCUACCAUCAGAUAUCUGCUCAUCAUGCCUGGUCUCGUCGACGUAUUUCUCCCAAACACUUACCACAUAUAUGUCACCUUUCAAUCAAUUGUUGAAAAAUUCAAAUUUGGAAUUCAAAUACAUGCAUUCAAAUUUGGAACACUUUGAACGGUCCGAUUCAAAACUUCAUAUUCCAAUUAUAUUCAUAAGACAAAUGGAACACUUUGAACGGCUUGUGUCCGAGCAUUGUAGUUUGAUUUAUUUUGAUGACAUUACCUUUUGACAUUGAGAUUCUUUCAGGAUUUAAACAUUCUUUUUAAAACCAAAUUAUUAAAAAAAAAUAACUAACAUAUAUUAUUUUAUUAGUGCUUUUUAAAUCAAAUAUACAUAGGAGAACUGUAAUUCUUAGCAAUCAAUUUUCCACUAAAUACACCUGCAACAAACUAUUAAUAACAAAGUGAUAGAAAAUACCUGAUUUUUCAUACUUUCUAAUUUCUUUUGGUCCUAAAAUAUGGGCAUUUGUGUAAUAAUAAGCCCAUGUGGAUCUCUAUGCCAUGAGUUUGAUAAAUAGCUAUCAAGGAUCACUUAUUAAGCUAAAAAUAUUUGGAGGACAAAAUUGUAAAACUAAAAGGGUGGAGCAAAUAUGGCUAUCUAGGAUUAAAUAGUAAGUCAACUAUAUUUAAAGGAUAAAAUAUUAAAACUUGAAUUGUGAUAUUAAAAAUAUCUCAACUAUUAUAUUAUUAAACCAUAUGUUCUAAUAGUUUUUUUUUUAAGCUUCAAAAUGUUCAGGAUUUUAGAUUGAAACAUUUUCAAUUGAAAUAAUUUGGUGCAGUCACAAGUUAAGAAAGAAAAAGUUGUCCCAUUGGUCAUUUCACAAAAAUGAAAGCCCUGUAUAACAUGGACGUGAAUGGAAACCCAAUUGUUUGUGUUUGAUUAAUUGAUUUCAAGCUUUAUCUAACCUUUGGACCUGGAUACUUUACUGCGGCCUCUAAGCGCUAUAAAUUUUUUUGGGGAUAAACGGCGCUUCAAUGAGGGCAUCUCCAAUGCUUAACACCAUUUUGGUGUAACACCAACAUUAAAAAUAUACAUUUUUCACACUAAAUUACUAUUUCAUCUCCAACCCAUUUACACCAAAUUUUACACCAAAAAUAAUAUUUUUUUUAUUCUUUUAAUUCUCAAGAAUUAAUUCAAUUAACACAAUAAAUACUACUAUUAACAUAGAUAAUUAAGUAAUAAGUAAUUUUAUCAAUUAACAAAAAAAAUAGAAAAUUAUUAAAUUUGCAUUUAAUUAACUAAAUUAGUACAUUAUGAAAAUUAAACAUUACAUUAAUAUAGAAAAAUACAAUAAAAAUAAUAAUAAUUUUAUAUCUAAUAUUUUGAUGAUAUUGGAGGAUCUAAUAAUGAUCUUCCAGAUUAUUAAAUAAUUGUUCUAAUUUAUACUAGUAGUAGUAGCUUUUUUAAUUUGUGUUAAUUUAAUUUUGUAAUAUGUAAUAUAGUAAUUAAUGUUAUUGGCAUUUUAUUUUUAUUAUUAAUUUUUGUGUUGAAUUUUUUUAUUUAAAAUAUUAGUAUAAUAUUAAAAAAUUAAAAAUGAAAUAAAUAAUAACAAAAAUAAUAAUAAUAACUUAAAAUAUUAUAUAAAAAAGGACAUAUAUGUAAAUAAGAAAAAGUAAUAAAGAUAUUUAGGACUCUUUUUUCCUAGCACCAAAUGAAUAGUGUUACACCAUAUUUGGUGCAAUACUAUUCAUAACACCAAUUUGCUGUUCGUUUUGAUGUUACAUUGGAGAAGCAUUUUACACAAAAAAUGGUGUAAAAGGUAGUUUGGUGUUAGUUUUGGUGUCACAUUGGAGAUGGCCUGGAAAAACACUUGAAAACUUUGGAUUUUUGGUUCGUCCAGUUACGGUGUUAUGCUAAUGGGGUUAAAAGUUCCGAUCCAAUGAGUUAGGAUGGAAUAUGAAUAUAUAAAUUCCAUAGCAUGUAAGGACUAGGAUUUGUUUGUUCAUAUCAAGAAAAAAAAGAUCCGAAAAUUUGAUGAUCAGAAGAUGAAGACACGUUUAUUACAGAGAAACAAACGACAACAUGAUACUAGUAGUAGUUAUUCUUUUCAUCCGAUAUAUUACAUGGUAAUAUCACUACUCGUUCCACUGGUUUCAUAUACACCAUCGAUCAGCAACAUGAUAAUUUUGUGUCAGUUCAUUUUGUUUGUAGGAAAGAGCAGUGUAUUUCUUAGAGCUUGAAAAUAAUAAAAAGAUUUUAAAAUAUAAAUUGCAUAUUUGUUUAUUACAGUUGUUUGGUCUAAUUUCUUAUGUAGAAUUGCUUGUCAUUCUUUGGACGUUAUUGAUUAUAUUUUUGUCAGACUUGGCGUAUAUAUUCACACAUACGUUUUAUUUUGUCAUUUUGUAGAACAUUUUUACACGCCAUAUUAUCACGACUCUUCUCUGUCUGAAUAAGAAGAAAGCAUAAUGCGACCCUCCAAUAGCUUAAUCUAUGGAAUUAUCGUGUUUUGUAAGUUGAGGUCCAAUGGCGUUUUGGCACAUCAUAUGAUAGCCCACUAUAUUGCGUUGCUUUACAAAAGAUUAAUAUUUUGAAAAUUAUUAGGUAAGUUUAGGCUCAGUGGCACUUUAACUCAUGAUAUGAUUGUCCAGGUUUUCGAGGACCACUAUAUUCUAUUGAUUUAAAAAAAAUUAAUAUUUUUUAAUAUUAAUAUUCUAAAUUAUAUUCAGUUCAAAUAUUAAAUAUUAAAUACAUUCUUAAUAUUAAUAUUCUUAGAUGAAAUUCUUUUGCUGACUUAAGAAUAAAAUAUUAAAUAAUUUUAUUUUUCUUUUAUUCUGUAACGUGGACCCAAUAAAAAAAGGAAAUGAAUUUAAUAAAACCUUCAUUCAAAAUCUUCAUUCCGCCACCAUGCAUGUUAAUUGUUUCCAAAUUCCAACCUCCGUACUCUCUUGAGGAGUUUCCCAUUCAUCAAUUAUUAUUUUUUAUAAUCCAUACCAUCCUGAUAUAAUUAAACACCAUUAAUAAUGUACCAACCUUUAAAUAGUAAUUAAUUUAUUUAUCUAAUUCACCAAAUGUUUUUUCCGGUACAUAUCUCCAUUGGUAUCAAGAAGAAGCAGAACCCAAAGAAAUGUUUCUUGCAUCUUCAUAUUUGUGCGAAUUCAUCCUUUCAUUGAGAAUAACCAUUUCCAGGCAGCAGUUGGCAAUCAAUUCAUGCGCACGUCGAUGCUAUUCAUAGAUACUAAAGACAAUGAUGAACCAAAGGUGAUAAAUCAUAAAUGCAUAAUUACCAAACCUCCAUCCUUCUCUCAUUAUGAUUUGAUUUUAAAUGAAUUAUUGCUUGGUAACAUUAUUUCCAACCAUUGCAAGACCUUUUUUUUGGAGAAAUUUCAAUUGAAAGUGAAACCUUUAGACAUUUACCUAAUGAAGUUAGUUAAUCGGGAGGGUCGGAAAAAAAAAGUUGACGCAAGUCAAUACACAAUAAUCAAUUAAAUCCGGAGUGACUAAAACAGAGCCACUACUUUUUAAAAAAUAUCUGCAUUAAUCACUUUCUCCAGCAACUAGUCAGCUACACACGAAUCAAUUUCUCUCCUCGUUUGUCAUCCAAAAUUAUUCACCAAUACCAUGGCUGAUGCAAUCGUUUCCACUAUCUUGGAGCAGCUGAUUUCCUUCGCUGCUGAAGAGAUAAAACAACAGGUGAUCGAAGUUUCACCCCUCAUAUUACAAAUACUUCCAAUGAUUUUAAUUGGCUUUGUUUUUAUCAAAAACAUUAUAUAUUUUUGCUUUUUUUUUAUUUAUCUGAUAAUUUUAUAUUUUGAAAUUUGAAUUGAAUUUAAUUAAAAGGUGAUGUAGUAACCACUCAUUUUUAUUUUAUUUCAUUUCUAUUCUCGAUAACUAACCAUAUUUUGGUAACUUAAUAUGACUCUCGUACAUAAGAAAUGAUCAAAACCCACAAUUUUAACUAUGUAUAAAUAUUCAACGUUGAGCUAAGGUUUUGCAGAACAUUCAAGUUUAUCAAAUAGUCAUUAAUUUAAUGUUUUAGUAAAACCUCAACUCAUCACUGAAUCCCAUAGCUAUUACUUAGACUCUAUGAAAAAUUUCAUAGUUUUCUUACAUUCUUUCAGUUUGGUAAGUGAUUUCAUAUAAUUUCUGUUCAAUAUAAAUUUUAAUUUGGUUUCUUAUAUACUCUCUUUGCUGAAUUUGUAUCUUUUAUGAUUCUUAGAUUUUGGGCUCUAACAUUUUAGGAUUUGAUAGUCACAUUUUAUGCCAUGCUUAGAUUGAUUUUCAUGAUUUUUACUACCCAUUAAGUGACUUAGAAUUUGACAAAAGUUUGAAAGGAAAUCUGCUUCAGGAUUCUGUUUUAAUUGACCUUUUAGUGGAAAUAGGAUGCUUAUAACUUAAUGUGGAUGGUUCGUAAAAUCAUGAAAUUUGGAUAGAAUUAACUAGAAAUAUGUACAAGACUCUCCAUGAAGUCUCAUAAUUUUUCAUUCGGUCUGGGGUGGUACAGGUGAAACUUGUGGUUGGUGUUGAAAAAGAAGUGAAAAGCCUUACCAGCCAUCUUCAAGCCAUUCAAGUUGUGCUCGAUGAUGCAGAGGAAAAGCAAGUGAAGGAAAAAGCUGUUAGUCUUUGGCUGGGUAGGCUCAAGUAUGCAUCCUACGACAUUGAAGAUGUGUUGGAUGAGUGGAUCACAACAAGACGCAAAUUGCAAAUUGAGGGUGGCAUUGGUGAAAAUGCUCUUGUUGUUCCUCAUAAGAAAAAGAAGGUAUGUCUCUGCUUUCCCGGCUCUUGUUUUGGAUUCAAACAAGAAGAAUUUGGUUUCAAACAAGUCUUUCUCCGUCAUGACAUUGCCGACAAGAUCAAAGAAAUCAAUGAAGAGCUACAUGAUAUUGCCGCUCAAAAAGACAUGUUUGAUCUUGUUAAGAGUGGCAAUAAAAGUAGUGAAAGACCAAGGCGUGUACAGAGUACCUUCUUGAUUGAUGAGGAAGAGAUUUGUGGCAGAGUUGGUGAGAGGAAUGAACUCUUAAGCAAGCUGUUGUGUGAGAGUAGCGAGCAACAAAAAGGCCUUCAUAUCAUCUCAAUCGUUGGUAUGGGAGGCAUAGGGAAAACAACUCUUGCACAACUAGCUUGUAAUCAUGACGAGGUGAAGAGAAAGUUCGACAAAAUUCUGUGGGUGUGUGUAUCAGAAACUUUUGAGGAGUUUAGGGUUGCCAAAGCGAUCGUUGAAGUUUUGGAUGGUCGUGAAUCUCAUUUAGCUGAAUUCCAUUCUCUUCUUCAACAUAUUUAUGAAUCCAUUGCAGGGAAGAGCUUUCUUCUUGUCUUAGAUGACGUGUGGGAUGGAAAUUACUUGAAAUGGGAACCAUUCUACCGUUGUCUAAAGAAUGGUCUCCAUGGAAGUAAAAUUUUAGUUACCACACGUAAAGGGUCAGUCGCAUCCAUGAUGGGAUCCAUAGAUAUUAUCUCCGUUAAGGAGUUAGCUGAAGAGGAAUGUUGGUUGUUGUUUAACAAGAUAGCAUUUUUUGAUCGGUCCAUCGAGGAACGUGAAAAAUUAGAACAAAUUGGGCAAAGAAUUGCAGGCAAGUGCAAAGGUUUACCUCUUGCAGCAAAGACAAUAGGGAGUCUCAUGCGUUCUAAACAAACUGAAGAAGAGUGGAAAAGAAUUUUAAAUAGUGAUUUAUGGAAAGUAGAAGAGAUUGAGAAAGAUGUUUUGUCCUCUUUAUUGUUGAGUUAUAAUGAUUUGCCAUCUAGAGUAAAAAGAUGUUUUUCAUAUUGUGCUGUCUUUCCAAAAGACUACAAUAUAGAAAAAGACAAACUAAUCACGUUAUGGAUGGCUCAAGGUUAUCUUAGUGCAGAAGAAGAUGAAGAGAUGGAGACAGUAGGUGAAGAGUAUUUUGGCAUCUUAGCUUCUCGCUCAUUUUUUCAAGAGUUUAAGAAAAGUUAUGAUAAUCGGAUUAUAGAGUGUAAGAUGCAUGAUAUGGUACAUGAUUUUGCCCGAUUUGUAAGUCAAAAUGAAUGUUUUUCGAUGGCAAUCAAUGGUAGUGAAGAACCAAACGCCACAAACUCUCUUGAUGAGAAGGUCCGUCAUUUAAUGUUAAUCUUUAGUAUAGAGGCUUCAUUACCUGUUUCCACUUGUAGAGUUAAAAGAAUUCGUAGCCUCUUAAUUAACGAUAGUAGAUCUGAUCAUUCAUUAUUAAAUGGUGAGAUCCUAGAAGAAUUAUUUAGGGAAUUGACAAGUUUAAGGGCAUUAGAUUUUUGCAAAUCGUAUAACGCAAGUUGGUCUUCGACUCUGGAGAUUCCGAGAAACAUAGAAAAGCUGGUACAUUUAAGAUACCUUAAUUUGUCUUAUCAGGGAAUAAAGAAACUACCGGAGACAUUAUGCGAGUUGUAUAAUCUAGAAAAGUUAGAUAUUAGUUAUUGUUAUAAGCUAGAAGAAUUACCUGAAGGGAUUGGGAAGUUAAUAAACAUGAAGCAUUUACGAAAUAGAGGUACUAGUUCUUUAAGGUACAUGCCAGUAGGGAUUGGGAGAUUAACGGGUCUUAGGACCUUGGGUGAGUUCCACGUGAGUGCAGGAGGAGGUGUUGAUGGUAGGAAAGCAUGUAGGCUUGAAUCUCUUAAAAACUUGGAACACCUUCAAGUAUGUGGUAUAUGUAGACUGGGUGAUGUAUCAGAUGUGGGCGAGGCUAAGCGAUUAGAACUUGACAAAAAGAAAUACCUCUUCAGUUUGACCCUCGAGUUUGAUAAGACGGAAAGAGGAGGAGAAAGGAGGAAGAACGAGGACGAUCAACUUCUUCUUGAAGCCUUGCGACCACCCCUGGAUUUAAAGGAAUUAGAGAUACGGUACUACCGAGGCAACACUGUUUUCCCCAGCUGGAUGGCGUCAUUAACCAACUUAAAGAGUUUACAUCUCCAUAGGUGCGAAAAUUGCGAGCAGCUGCCUCCUUUGGGAAAAUUGCCGUCCCUUGAAAAUCUCUACAUAUGGCGCAUGGAGAGUGUGAAGAGAGUGGGUGAUGAAUUUUUGGGGAUAGAAAGUGAUCAUCAUGACUCAUCGUCAUCUUCAUCAGUUACUAUUGCCUUCCCCAAAUUGAAAUCACUCACAAUUUAUUCGAUGCUGGAAUUGGAGGAGUGGGAUUAUGAGAUUACAAGAACAGGAAACACCGUCAUCAACAUCAUGCCACGUCUUUCUUCCUUGACAAUUGUUGAUUGCACCACAUUAAAGGCACUGCCCGACCACAUUCAUCAAACGACAACGUUGAAGGAAUUGAGCAUUUUUAUGUGUUGGCUUCUGAACAAACGUUACCGCAAGGGGAAAGGAGAAGACUGGCCUAAAAUAUCACACAUUCCCAACCUCCGUAUUGGGCUUUGACAAGUAAUUUCUUCUCUCACUCUGAUUUGCUUUGUUGUUGUUUUUAAUCUAAUUAAGAAGCGAAAAUAGCAUUUUGAAUCAAACUCUAUAUCAGAAAUCUGCAAUACUUACUUUCUAAUAUUCUGAUUUUCAUAUCCUAUGAAUAUACGAUUUUUAAUUUGUGAGAUGGGUAACGUUACUGUAAAAGAUUAUUAAUGCAAUAUGAGUAAUUCUUUUGCAGGACAAGUGACCUACAUUUAGUUUGGCUUUGGAGUUGAAUAAUAACCUUUCGUGGUCCCGACAACCAAAAAACAAAGCUUAAUUUGCCACAGAUUGAACGUAUUGCCAUUAUUGACAAUUUUCUGCACAAGCGUGACUGAACUUAGGUUGAUGUCAAAAGAGGUAAAUUAUUGGCAUGCCUGACUAUUUUGACCAUUACAUGAUUCAUAAGUUUACAUUAAUUUUGAUUUUGAGUUGAGUGAUUAGUUUUCUAGGUUUGCUUACUUUAACUGGGUGACCAAUUUCUUGUAACUAAAUGUAUGAUGUGAUGCAGGAAGCAGGGCAGGAUAUGAAAAGAGAAGCUUAUUAGAGGAAGGAUUGCCAGUAACAGAAUCCAAAGAAAAAGAAACCAUUUCGAGGCAGCUGUUGGCAGUUGGCAGUGAAUGGAGCCCCUUGAAAAAAUUCCCAGGCCGUUGCACUGCAAUUACGAUCAUCCUCGGCCUCAGGUAAUUUCUUCUCCUGCAUUUUUGUUAUUUGCUAUCAAGUGACUAUUUUAAGUAUGAUUGCAUUAAGCUUCUGCUGGGAAAUUUGAGGUUUUGAUGACUGCCCAUGCUAUUGUCAGAAGCUGCGGUUCUUUUCAUCAGCCUGAACCUGGACCUGCCGCUAUGGAUAACUCAGGUUUUUUUUUUUUUUUUAAUCAACUGCCAUCUUUUCCACUGUUUAGAAACUCUUAAGAUUAAACUUUAGUAAAGUUGUUUUAGUUAUCCAUGUAAUCAGGCUGAGGAUACUUAGCUGCCUAUUUAGGCAAAUGUCAGAAUUUAGUUUGUUCGCUGGGAACUGGUGUGGACUGGCAAAGGAUGAUGAGAUAGUUUUUUGAGUGAGUAAAUUUUGGGAGCUUGAGUGUAUUGGGAUUUGCAAUUACAAUCAUCGUCUGCCUCAGGUGAUUUCUUCUCCUGCUCUGUCAUUGUUUGUUCUCUAAUUCAAAAGCAUAAAAUAUUUCAAUCAAUUUUUAUGCCAGGAAUAUGCAAAAGUUUCUAAUAUUUUAUUUCCAUCUGUUACAAGAUCAAACUGAAGCAGAACUCAAACAAAAGUAUGCUACUUCUUGCGGAAAUCUUGCCUUUGUUCAGAUUAUGAAACCAUUUCCAUGCAGCAAAUUCAUCCAAAAGUUUGAAUAAGUUUCAUGGUUGGACACUGUUGGCUUCUUUUUCUUCUGGGGUGCAUUUAGGUGCUAUCAAGUGACAGCUGUAAGUAUGAUUGCACUAAGCUGCCGCUGGGAAAUUUGAGGUUUUGAUGGCUGCCCAUGUUAUUUUCAAGAAACUAUUGAUGUAAGAAGCUGUGGUUCUUUUCAUCAGCUUGAACCUGAAACUGUCGCUAUGGAUAACUCAGGUUUUUGUUAUCAACUAUAUCAUCUUUUUCACUAUUUUGAAACUCUUAAGAUUAAACUUUAGUAAAGUUGUUUCAGCUAUUCAAAUGAAAAACUCAUUGAUUUGAGACUUCCUUCAUUAUUGUUUCUAAUUACAAUGCUAACGAUCCAGAUAAAAUAAUAUUUAAUCGGCGAAGGUGUCCCUUGGAAGUACAUCCUUCUUUUUCUUUUAUUAUAUAAAUUCUUGCAAUGAGCUUAGUGAAGCUGUUGUGCUAAUCAUGCCACUGCAUAAUUUGGCCCCUAAUGUGGGUACUCUGUUACAUUGUUCUGCAAAUUCUCCAGAAGUUAAAAUCAAUAAAUUUUCUAUUAGCUCUAGUGCUUUGACCUAAAUGCCAUUCUAUAUUUUGAUUACAAUGUUUUAACCUUUAAAUUAACUACCCCUAGAUGUUGGAUUUUCUAGAACUUCAAAAUGAUUAAUGGAGAAAGAUCCCAUUAUCGUUAUUGCUAUAAGAAAUUGAUUUAUGCAUCCAAAGAUACAUUAUAUAUUUCUGUGUCUCUAUUUGUAGAUGACAUUUAAGCAUCCAUAAACCGUCAGACAGAGGAAGGGGGUUCAGUGCAAAGAUUCUGUUGACCUAGGGUUGACUGCAUAAUGUCACUUGUUCGCAAUCUAUUAUUUAUUUUAUAUUUUGAAGAAUUUAAUGGGUAAUCCUAAUUGUUUGUUUUGGCAGGUAUGUGUUGUUAUCUCCUUCUAUCUAACAGUCGUACCUAAAUAGCAUAGUUUCAUCUGUGUUACCAUGUGAUGUACAUAAUUUCACAUUUGCCUCAGAUUAAGCUUAAUUUCCCACAGAAUAGAGCUGUCGCGACUGGACUUAGGUUGAUGUCCAAAGAGGUAAAUUAUUGGCAUGCCUAGAUAAUUUGGCCAUUUCCUAAUUCAUAAGUCUACAUUAAUUUUGAUUUUGAGUUGACUGAUUUCUUUUCAAGGUCUGCUUCCUUAACGGAGUGACCAAUGUUUUUCAACUAAAUUUAUCAUAUGAUGCAGGAAGCAGGGCAGGAUAUGAAAUGAGAAGCUCAUUGGUGGAAGUAUUGCCAGUAACAGAACCCAAAGAAAAUGAAACUAUUUCAAGGCAGCAGUUGGCAGUUGCAAGUGAAUGGAGGCCCUGACAAAAUUCUCAAGCGGUUGCAAUGCAAUUACGAUCAUCCUCAGCCUCAGGUAAUUUCUUCUCCUGCUCUGUUUUUAUUUGUUAUCUAAUUAAAAAGCAUAAAGUAUCUUGAAUCACUUUCUGUAUCUGGAACAUAUGCAGCAGUUUCUAAAAUCUUCAUAUGAGUGUAAUGAUGGUAAUUUCUGUUUUUUGUCUGUCAUUGAAUGUUAGACAACUUUCAGUGAGACUCUUGAACCGAGACAUUUUUGACAAAUGAAGGACAAUUGCUGAAGAGUGGGAAUGGUGCUAGAUUGGGGAAUAAAGACAAAGGAGGUAAAUUAUUUGCAGUUUAUUCAGCAUUAUUUGCUUUGGACCAGCGCCUGAUUCACAAGUCUCCAUAAUUUGGCUUUUGACCAGUUGUUAAUAAAUUUUUUAUUCCAUUGGUGCUAAAUGUACACGUGAAGCAGGCAGAGCAGGACUGUGGAAAUGAGAAGGUUUUUAGUGAAAGCUUAAACUCAGGUAAUUCUAAAAAGUACAUGUUUUUGCUGAUUUAUCUAAAUCAGGAAAUUUUAUUUCCAUCUGUUACAAGAUAAAACAGAAACAGAACACAAAGAAAAAUAUUCUACUUCUUGUGGCAAUCUUGCCUUCAUUCAGACAAUGAAACCAUUUCCUUUCACCAAUUUCUUCCAAAAGUUUGAAUAAGUUUCAUGGUUGGACAUAGUUAGCUUCUUUUUCUUUUGGUGCAUUUAGGUCCUAUCAAGUGACAGCCAUAAGUAUGAUUGCAUUAUUGGGAAAUUUUAGGUUUUGAUGGCUCCCCACGUUAUUGCCAAGAAAGUCCUCAUGUCAAAAGCUGCGGUUCUUUUCAUCAGCCUGAACCCGAACCUGUCGUUAUGGAUAACUCAGGUUUUUGUCAUCAACUAUAUCAUCUUUUUUACUGUUUUGAAACUCUUAAGAUUAAACUUCAGUAAAGUUGUUUCAGUUAUCCAUGUAAUCAGGCCAAGGAUAUUUAGCAGCUUAUUUAGGCAACUGCCAGAAUUCAGUUUGUUUGCUCGAAACUUGUAUGGUGACAAGGAUACUGGCAAGGAUAGUGAGAUAGUUUUUUGUGUGAGUGAAAUUUGAAAGCUUGGGUGUUCUGGGAUUUGCAAUUGCAAUCAUCCUCUGAGUCAGGUGAUUUCUUCUCCUGCUCUGUCUUGAUUUUCUCUCUAAUUGAAAGCAUAAAGUAUUUCAAUCAAAUUCUGUACCAGGAGUACAUAAAAGUUACUAAUAUUUUAUUUCCAUCUGUUUGCAUUGAUAACUCGGCAUAUGUUCUAGUUAAAGAACAAACAGAAACAGAGUUCAGGAAAAAGUUUCUUCGGCCACCAUAUUUGAAAAUGAAACCAUUUCCAGGAAGCAGUUGGCAGCAAAUUCAUAUGGAGUGUAGACAAUGAUGAGCAAAAAGGUGAUUCGCAAUUUCUUUUUUUUUUAAGUGAAAUUAUUUGUUAGAUUGAAGCUGAUAUUGUAAGAAGGCCAUUGAGCUAACCUAUGUCGUCACUUGCCUAGAUUGCAGGGGGUCAAGACUCAAAAGAAGCACUGAAAUUUAAAAAGCAUGGAAUAGUUCUUUUGCCAUGUGUCAAUUAAUGCAAGUUUGAAUAAGUUUAUUGGCUGAACGAUGUUAGCUUCUUUUCCUUUCGUGCACUUUGGUAUGCUAUCAAGUGACAGCCGUAUGUAUGGCUUGCAUAUAGCUGCUGCUGGGAAAAUUGACGAUUUCAUGGCUGGCCGUGUUAUUGUCUUAAAUUAGUUGUGAUAAGCUGUUGCUUGGAGAUUCUGUUGCCAAGACUUUGCUCACAUCAGAAGCUGUGGAAUCUGAACCCUUCGUUAUGUAUCAUCUUUUUCAUUGUUUUAAAACUCUCAGGAUUAAACUUGAGCGAAUUUGUUCGGUUGUCUAUAUAAUCAUGUAUUGAGUAAACUCUCAGGAUACUGAGGGUGAGAGAAAUUAGAGGGUGUAUAGGGAUUUGGAUUUGUUAGGAAGUUAUCAUUUUUAUUUUUAUUUUUAUUUUUUUCCCAGAAAAUCUUCUGGUGGUGCUAUAUUUUCAAACGACAGUCCGAUUCAAAACUUGAUAUUCCAAUUAUAUUCAUAAGCUUCUACAGUUAUCUUCAAAAAGACAAAUGGAAGGCUUUGAACGGCUUGGGUCUGAGUAUUGUAGUUUGAUUUAUUUUGAUGAAAGUACCUUUUGACAUUGAGAUUCUUUCAUGAGUUAAACAUUCUUUUUAAAACCAACUUAUUAAAAAAAAAAAGUAACUAACAUAUAUUAUUUUGUUAGUGCUUUUUAAAUCAAAUAUAAAAAAGAGAACUGUAAUUCUUAGCAACCAAUUUUUCACUGAGUACACCUACAACAAACUAUUAAAAAAUAAAGUGAUAGAAAAUGCCUGAUUUUUCGUACUUUCUAAUUACUUUUGGUCCUAAAAUAUGGCAAUUUGUGUAAUAAUAAGCCCAUGUAUAUCUUUAUGCCAUUAGUUUGAUAAAUAGCUAUCAAGGAUAACUUAUUAAGCUAAAAAUAUUUGAAGGAUAAAUUGAUUUAUGCAUCCAAAGAUACAUUAUAUAUUUCUGUGUCUCUAUUUAUAGAUGACAUUUAAGCAUCCAUAAACCGUCAGACAGAGGAAGGGGGUUCAGUGCAAAGAUUCUGUUGACCUAGGGUUGACUGCAUAAUGUCACUUGUUCGCAAUCUAUUAUUUAUUUUAUAUUUUGAAGAAUUUAAUGGGUAAUCCUAAUUGUUUGUUUUGGCAGGUAUGUGUUGUUAUCUCCUUCUAUCUAACAGUCGUACCUAAAUAGCAUAGUUUCAUCUGUGUUACCAUGUGAUGUACAUAAUUUCACAUUUGCCUCAGAUUAAGCUUAAUUUCCCACAGAAUAGAGCUGUCGUGACUGGACUUAGGUUGAUGUCCAAAGAGGUAAAUUAUUGGCAUGCCUAGAUAAUUUGGCCAUUUCCUAAUUCAUAAGUCUACAUUAAUUUUGAUUUUGAGUUGACUGAUUUCUUUUCAAGGUCUGCUUCCUUAACGGAGUGACCAAUGUUUUUCAACUAAAUUUAUCAUAUGAUGCAGGAAGCAGGGCAGGAUAUGAAAUGAGAUCUCAUUGGUGGAAGUAUUGCCAGUAGCAGAACCCAAUGAAAAUGAAACUAUUUCAAGGCAGCAGUUGGCAGUUGCAAGUGAAUGGAGGCCCUUGACAAAAUUCUCAAGCGGUUGCAAUGAUGGUAAUUUCUUCUCCUGCUUUGUAUUUAUUUGUUAUCUAAUUAGGAAGCGUGAAGUAUCUUGAAUCAUUUUCUGUAUCUGGAAUAUAUGCAAGAGUUUCUAAAAUUUUGAUAUGAGUGUAAUGAUGGUAAUUUCUGUUUUCUGUCUGUCAUCAAAUGUUAGAAAACUUUCAUUGAGACCCUUGAACCGAGUCAUUUUUGACAAGUGAAGGACAAUUGCUGAAGAGUGGGAAUGGUGCUAGAUUGGGGAAUAAAGACAAAGGAGGUAAAUUAUUUGCAGUUUAUUCAGCAUUAUUUGCUUUGGACCACCGCCUGAUUCACAAGUCUCCAUAAUUUGGCUUUUGACCAGUUAAUAAAUUUUUAAUUCCAUUGGUGCUAAAUGUACACGUGAAGCAGGCAGAGCAGGACUGUGGAAAUGAGAAGGUUUUUAGUGAAAGCUUAAACUCAGGUAAUUCUAAAAAGUACAUGUUUUUGCUGAUUUAUCUAAAUCAGGAAAUUUUAUUUCCAUCUGUUACAAGAUAAAACAGAAACAGAACACAAAGAAAAAUAUUCUACUUCUUGUGGCAAUCUUGCCUUCAUUCAGACAAUGAAACCAUUUCCUUUCACCAAUUUCUUCCAAAAGUUUGAAUAAGUUUCAUGGUUGGACAUAGUUAGCUUCUUUUUCUUUUUGGUGCAUUUAGGUCCUAUCAAGUGACAGCCAUAAGUAUGAUUGCAUUAUUGGGAAAUUUUAGGUUUGGAUGGCUCCCCAUGUUAUUGCCAAGAAAGUCCUCAUGUCAGAAGCUGCGGUUCUUUUCAUCAGCCUGAACCCGAACCUGUCGUUAUGGAUAACUCAGGUUUUUGUCAUCAACUAUAUCAUCUUUUUUACUGUUUUGAAACUCUUAAGAUUAAACUUCAGUAAAGUUGUUUCAGUUAUCCAUGUAAUCAGGCUAAGGAUAUUUAGCAGCUUAUUUAGGCAACUGCCAGAAUUCAGUUUGUUUGCUCGAAACUUGUAUGGUGACAAGGAUACUGGCAAGGAUAGUGAGAUAGUUUUUUGUGUGAGUGAAAUUUGAAAGCUUGGGUGUUCUGGGAUUUGCAAUUGCAAUCAUCCUCUGAGUCAGGUGAUUUCUUCUCCUGCUCUGUCUUGAUUUUCUCUCUAAUUGAAAGCAUAAAGUAUUUCAAUCAAAUUCUGUACCAGGAAUACGUAAAAGUUACUAAUAUUUUAUUUCCAUCUGUUUGCAUUGAUAACUCGGCGGCAUAUGUUCUAGUUAAAGAACAAACAGAAACAGAGUUCAGGAAAAAGUUUCUUCGGCCACCAUAUUUGAAAAUGAAACCAUUUCCAGGAAGCAGUUGGCAGCAAAUUCAUAUGGAGUGUAGACAAUGAUGAGCGAAAAGGUGAUACGCAAUUUCUUUUUUUUUUUUUUUAAGUGAAAUUAUUUGUUAGAUUGAAGCUGAUAUUGUAAGAAGGCCAUUGAGCUAACCUAUGUCGCCACUUGCCUAGAUUGCAGGGGGUCAAGACUCAAAAGAAGCACUGAAAUUUAAAAAAGCAUGCAAUAGUUCUUUUGCCAUGUGUCAAUUAAUGCAAGUUUGAAUAAGUUUAUUGGCUGAACGAUGUUAGCUUCUUUUCCUUUCGUGCACUUUGGUAUGCUAUCAAGUGACAGCCGUAUGUAUGGCUUGCGUAUAGCUGCUGCUGGGAAAAUUGACGAUUUCAUGGCUGGCCGUGUUAUUGUCUUAAAUUAGUUGUGAUAAGCUGUUGCUUGGAGAUUCUGUUGCCAAGACUUUGCUCACAUCAGAAGCUGUGGAAUCUGAACCCUUCGUUAUGUAUCAUCUUUUUCAUUGUUUUAAAACUCUCAGGAUUAAACUUGAGCGAAUUUGUUCGGUUGUCUAUAUAAUCAUGUAUUGAGUAACCUCUCAGGAUACUGAGCAGGCAAAUGUUAUAACUCGGUUUGUUAGCCAAAAACUUGUUGAAGAUUCUUGACAAAGCUGCAUCAAGUGAAUUGUCGGAGCUCUGAGGGUGAGAGAAAUUAGAGGGUGUAUAGGGAUUUGGAUUUGUUAGGAAGUUAUCAUUUUUAUUUUUAUUUUUAUUUUUUUCACAGAAAAUCUUCUGGUGGUGCUAUAUUUUCAAACGACAGUCCGAUUCAAAACUUGAUAUUCCAAUUAUAUUCAUAAGCUUCUACAGUUAUCUUCAAAAAGACAAAUGGAAGGCUUUGAACGGCUUGGGUCUGAGUAUUGUAGUUUGAUUUAUUUUGAUGAAAGUACCUUUUGACAUUGAGAUUCUUUCAUGAGUUAAACAUUCUUUUUAAAACCAACUUAUUAAAAAAAAAAAGUAACUAACAUAUAUUAUUUUGUUAGUGCUUUUUAAAUCAAAUAUAAAAAAGAGAACUGUAAUUCUUAGCAACCAAUUUUUCACUGAGUACACCUACAACAAACUAUUAAAAAAUAAAGUGAUAGAAAAUGCCUGAUUUUUCGUACUUUCUAAUUACUUUUGGUCCUAAAAUAUGGCGAUUUGUGUAAUAAUAAGCCCAUGUAUAUCUUUAUGCCAUUAGUUUGAUAAAUAGCUAUCAAGGAUAACUUAUUAAGCUAAAAAUAUUUGAAGGAUAAAAUGGUAAAACUAAAAGGGUGGAGUAAUAUAGUUAUUUAAGAUUACAUAGUAAGUCAACUAUAUUCGAGGGAUAAAAUAUUAAAACUUGAAUAGUGAUAUUAAAAAUAUCUCAGCUAUUAUACUAUUAAACCAUAUGCCGUAAUAAUAUUUUUUUUCAAACUUUAAAAAAUUCAGGAUUUUAAAUUAAAACAUGGAUUUCUUUAAGAUGCUAUAUGUGUUUUUACAGUAUUGAUAGUGGGAUUAGUGUGGACCUUUAGAUGAAAGAGUUUUAAUCUGAAUCAUUCAUUUAAUAUAAUAGAUAAUUAAAUAAUUAAUUAAAAUAUAUCAGGUAACUUAUAGGUUGCAGGUAAAAAAUUAAUUUUUUAAUUUUAAAUUAAAAUUAAUUUGGAACAAAACCAUCCACACCCCUAAGGUUUACUUAAAUGAUCAUAUAAAUCCCUUUAGUUUCUACAUAGUUAUACAAACCCUCUUAAUUUCAUAAAUUAUUAUUAUACUUUUAAUUAAAACAACCUAAAUGAAUAUAAAUAUAGUAAUAGGAUAGAAAUAAUAAAUAAAUAUCAGAUGAAACAAAUAAAAUAUUACAAUAAAUACAAUUAAUUAAAUAACAUGUAGGAUGAAAAUUUUAUUCAUAUUAAGUUAUUAUUAGUCGAUCUCGAUGGAUUUACUCAAAUUAAUUAAUCCAAAAUUUAAUUUUAAGAUUGAUAUUAAUAUGGACAUAAUUAAAUAAGAUGUUGUAAUAUAUAUUACUUUGAAUGUUAAGUAUAAUUAUCUAAUAUUAUUAGUAUGUGAAAUAGAUUUUAAUAUUAUUAAAAGAAUAUGACAAUAUAUAAUUUUGACAUAAAUUUUUUAGUAUUCAUAAUAUUUUAUAAAUUUUAUCUUAUUUUAUAUAUUAUAUUUUUUAAUUUUAAUGUAUUAUAUAUGAUCAUUUAAGCAAAUUUUGGAGGUGCGGUGGUCUUUUCCCUAUUAAUUUUGUAGCAUAUUUAAAGUGUUAUAUCAUACAUCAUACAUCGCACUUUUGUUAAAGUAUUAUGUUAUUAAAAAUUAAACUUUGCAUUUAUAAUAUACUACCAUUUUAAUGUAAAUGUAACAAAAAAUAUGAAGAUAUUUUUAAGUAGUCAAUUGUAGCUUUCUAUUACAAAAUAGCAGUAUAGAAAUACAAUUGGUAAAAUGUAAUAAAAAUGGUAUGGAAAAAAGUUAGUAGAGGCAAUUAUUUUUGUAGUUGCUAAAACAUAUGAAGUGACACACACACACACACACACACACAUCAAGUACUUGUAUGUUCCCCUAACUUUUAUUAAUAGGAAGGAAAUUAAAUUCGUAAUUUUCCCGGUGAAUUAUGAAUUGAUAAAUGAAAUAUAAAUAUUAGUAAAAAUUAAUUUGUCGACUAAAGAAGUAAACCAUAUUUUAUGGGCAUUUAAUACAUUACUUUAAGGUCAAAUGAGAUAUAUCACAUGAUAUUUGAUACAGUAGUCCAAUUUUCAACAUUUGCAUAUAGUUUCUAAGCUAGUAAUCUAAUAAAAUAUACCAAAUGAGAAAUUCAAGGCUAUUAUUUAUAUUUCACAAUUGGACAAACACCAUACAUUAGAAUAAAAAAAUCUCACAGUACAGACGACAUCUGUUUGCAUGUUUUGAAAAUAGAUUUUGAAAAUAGUUUAAUUACAUGAUAAUUAAAUUAUAUUAUAAAACUAAGAAUAUGAUUUAAGUACUAUUUUAGCAAUUUUGAGUCUCACAUUGAGUAUUCAAGUUAAUUAAAUGUUGAAACUCUUUUCUAUUUGGCUUGAAAUCACUACUUAAUUAAAUUACAAAAAGUCGAUAAUGAAUGAUGUAGGACACAUAUGUAAAAUAAAUUUUAAAGUGUAAUUAAACAUUCCUAUCAAUAUUAGUUUCGUAUACAUGUUCAUAUAUUUUAUUGAAACCAUAUAUAAUUAAAUUUUGUGUAAUUAAGUAAAAUAUAUUAUUCAAGUGAAUUUAUGAGAAUAUUUAAAAUUAUAGGGGUGGUCACUGAAAUUUGCCAAACUUGAGCCAACCGUGCAUGAUCCAAACAAUUUAUUUUAAUAAUUCUCAAUAUGUUAGUCUGUUUGACUGUUGGCAAAAUAAAUUCCUAUCAGCAAUGCAACACAAUUCAAAAUCAUAUCUGCAUACAACGAACAAUAUCUCAUCAAAGAUCAAAUUAUACAUUUUUUACACCAAAGCAUAAAUAUCUAAAUUAUCCCUCUUCAACUCACCAAGCUCAUACCUAACAACAGCAAGAUUAAAUGUCAUUUGAUCCAUCUUUUUUAGUAAGCUUUAUCAAUUCUUCUCAUGGUUGCAAUUUUGAAAGCUCGCUUCGCUAUUUCCAUUUGCUUUUAUGCUUUGUUUGAGCUCCAUCUUUUCUCUCCAUCUACAUUUUACACUGUAAAAAAAAUUUUAAAAAAAUUACAAAGCUUCUUAUACUAGAAUAUGAGCAACAAUAUAAAUAAUAAACAAUAAAGUUAUGAUAGCACAACAUACUCAUUAAAGUGCUUCUUUUUUUUUUUCAACAAGAAAUUACUACUGAAUUAAAGAAUUGGCUUUGCAUUAAGGUUUGCCUUCAAUAACUCAACUCCCCACUUGGGUUUUGUCGUUUUCUUAAAAUCUCUGCUCAAUCAAUUUAAAGAUCCAUUUUUUUUUUCUUUCCAAAGAUCUAAAAGCAAUGUCUUUUAUUGGUACCCAACAAAAAUGCAAGGUCUGUGAGAAGACAGUUUGUCCAGUUGAGCAGUUAUCUGCUGAUGGGGUUGUUUAUCACAAGUCUUGCUUCAAGUGCUAUCACGGCAAAGGCACACUCAAGCUAAGCAAUUACUCAUCCCUGGAAGGUGUUCUUUACUGUAAGCCUCACUUUGAGCAGCUUUUGAAGGAGUCGAGUAACUUCAACCAGAAUUUCCAAUUACCUGCAAAGUCAGCUGAGAAGUUAACUCCUGAGCUGAGAAGGUCGCCUAGCAAAGUUGCCAGCAUGUUCUCUGGGCCCAAUAAAAAUGUGCUUCUUGCAGUAAAACAGUGUGUCCGUGGGAGAAGGUAGCAGUGGAAAACCAAGCCUCUCACAAGACAUGUUUCAAGUGCUCACAUGGUGGUUAUUCCAUUAGCCCGUCAAAUUACGCAGCCCUAGAAGGCAUCUUGUAUUGCAAACAUAAUUUCUCCCAAUUGUUCAAGGAAAAAGGCAGCUACAACCACCUUAUAUCAAAUCUGCUCCCAUGAAGCGUGCUGCAGUCUCUGUUCAAGAAGCUUGAACACGUUAUGUUAUCUUCCAUAAAUCUUAUUUGGCGUGGGUUUUCUCUGGCUUGAGGGUGUGCUUUCUAUUUUGAUCCCUCUUGUUGUUUUUGCGGGGAACUACCAAACCUUCGGUUCCCUCUGCUUCUUUGGAUCAUCUUUGUUUGGACAAAUUUCAUGUAAUUAGAGAUACCGAUUUAUGGGAGGCAUAAUCCCAUGGUCGUAAAUUGACCAUUUUCUGGCAAUGUUCUUUUUAAAAAGAGAUGAGCAGUUGUUUAAAAAAAAAAAAAAUUGCUUGCCUUCAUCAUUGUAUAUUACCAAACUGCUAUGUAUAGCUGCUAACUAUGAGCAUCCGAAAAUAUGGUGCAUCGUGAUUCAUGUAGUGCAAUAUGGCUACCAACGCAUCCUAAAUGGAGUAUUACUCAGUUAGUCAGCAAAAUAAGACAACAUAACUGAUAUUAAAAAAAAAAAAAAACUACAUUAAUAAGUGGGCAAGAUCAUGCCAGUUUAACUUUUCGCGCGUCGCUGCUGGAGAUGAUCAAAUCGGGGCAUAGAAAAGGAGAAUGGAAUCAGAGGCUAAGAUUAAUAAGUGGGCUUCUGCUUGCUUUGCCCUCUUUCUUAAACGAUUGGUAGACUGCUGCUUCCGCCGAUUAACCGGGUCUUCAACCACUGCUUUUACUGCCUGCCAUCUUGUUGUUUGUCGAAGGGAUGAAUUCGAGUCGAAAAGAGAAAGCGCGCUGAAAAAGAUAAAUCACUAGUGGUUAACUGCUGACUCAGCCAAGUGUUGGCUUCACUUGAUUCACCGAUUGAGGUUAUUUUGUCUUCUAUCUAAUGCAGCGAAGAAGCUUUGCUGCUUAACAUGCUGCAAUGCAACUUUAUCCUUUGAAGUUCACACUCCAGGGCUGCGCACUUUAUGUAAUCCUAUGAGUAAAAAGAAUUUGUUUUCAAAUGUGAAAAAAGAAAAUGUAAGGUAGUAACUAAAUAUAUUAUAGCAUCAAAGCAAGAUUUGAUAUGAAUUUAGUACAACAAAGAACAUCAAAUCUGUGAUUCCUUGUCUAAUGUCACCAUCGAGCAACAAAUUUAAAAGCCUACCUAUCAAAUACACGAGGCAAUAAACGGAGAAAAAGUUGAAUUACAAGAACAAGUUUACAAUUCUUGUCAAUGGUUAAUGAUUUGUGAACUGAGAUAUCAUUCAAGAAUCCAAUUUCAAUACAACAACCUAAAAGAUAAACAGAUGAUGAAUUUUAUGAGAUAAAAAAGGAGAUCGUGUUUUAUCGUAUCUCUAUUUUCUUUCUUUUUAAAUUUAUGAGAUAAAGCGGUUGGUCCAGUUACGGUGUUAUGCUAACGGGUUUAAAGGUUCCGAUCCAAUGAGUUAGGGUGGAAUAUGAAUAUAUAAAUUCCAUAGCAUGUAAGGACUAGGAUUUGUUUGUUCAUAUCAAGAAAAAAAAUCUGAAAAUUUGAUGAUCAGAAGAUAAAAACACUUAAACACGUUUAAGUAUCAAUAAAUACUUGCUGCUGUAGUUUGAAAAUAAAAUGAGUUUAUCUUGUUGCUGUUUGAUAAAAAUUUAUACUAUUUUUAUUAAUUUUGUCAAAAUCAAUAUUUAGACAUUAUAUUUACCAAGCAUUAUCAUUUUUUUAAUCUCAUAAUUAAUUAAAAUUUUCAUUUCAUUCAAUACAGUAAUUAAUUAGAAUUGUAGCAUAAGCCCAUUUUAAUUUUCUUUCUUUAGGCUAUAUACGCUACUUAUAAGAAAAACUUAUGGACCAUUGACCUAGGCUUAUACAAUAAGCCAAUUUAGAAAUUGUAGACUCACUCUAUGGAUUACUCAUGAGUUGUGGAUGAUGAGUUCUUCACUAACGAAGUGCAUUGGAUAUCAUAUAACGUAAAAACACACAUUGUCAUUAGUCUAUUGCAAGCAUUCCCAUUUGGCACCGAAUCUUUCUCAUUAGCCUAUUGCAAGCGAUCCCAGCCACUUGGAAUCAAAAUUUAGUGAAUUUACAUAUGUUGUCUCGAAGUGGUGUCUCUUAUGGUUGGGUGUUUUUAUAAAUUUCUUAAUUGCUUCGAAUACCAUGGCUGAUGCAACCGUUUCUACUAUCUUGGAGCAGCUGAUUUCCUUCGCUGCUGAAGAGAUAAAACAACAGGUGAUCGAAGUUGCACCCCUCAUAUUACAAAUGCUUCCAAUGAUUUUAAUUGGUUUUGUUUUUAUCAAAAACAUUAUAUAUUUUUUCUUUAUUUUAUUUAUCUGGUAAUUUUAGAUUUUGAAAUUUGAAUUGAAUUUAAUUAAAAGGUGAUGUAGUAACCACUUAUUUUUAUUUUUUUUUAUUUAUAUUCUCAAUAACUACUCAUAGUUUGGUAACUUACUAUAACUUCCAUAUCUAAGAAAUGAUCCAAACCCACAAUUUUAACUCAAGUUUGUCAAACAGUCAUUAAUUCAAUGUUUAGUAAAAAAAACACUUCUCAGCACAGAAUUCCAUGUCCAUUACUUAGACUCUAUGAAAAAUUUCAUAAUUUUCUUACAUUCUUUGAGUUUGGUAAGUGAUUUCAUAUAUUUUCUAUUCAAUAUAAAUUUUAAUUUGUUUUCUUAUAUACUCUCUUUGCUGAAUUUGUAUCUUUUAUGAUUCUUAGAUUUUGGGCUCUAACUUUUUAGGAUUUGAUAGUCACAUUUUAUGCCAUGCUUAGAUUGAUUUUCAUGAUUUUUACUACCCGUUAAGUGACUUAGAAUUUGACAAAAGUUUGAAAGGAAAUCUGCUUCAGGAUUCUGUUUUAAUUGACCCUUUAGUGGAAAUAAAAUGCUUAUAACUUAAUGUGGAUGCUAUGUAAAAUCAUGAAAUUUGGAUAGAAUUAACUAGAAAUAUGUACAAGACUCUCCAUGAAGUCUCAUAAUUUUUCAUUCGGUCUGGGGUGUUACAGGUGAAGCUUGUGGUUGGUGUCGAAAAAGAAGUGAAAAGCCUUACCAGCCACCUUCAAGCCAUUCAAGCUGUGCUCGAUGAUGCAGAGGAAAAGCAAGUGAAGGACAAAGCUGUUAGACAUUGGCUGGGUAGGCUCAAGUAUGCAUCCUACGACAUUGAAGAUGUGUUGGAUGAGUGGAUCACAGGAAGACGCAAAUUGCAAAUUGAGGGUGGCAUUGGUGAAAAUGCUCUUAUUGCUCCUCAUAAGAAAAAGAAGGUACGUUUCUGCUUUCGUGCCUCUUGUCUUGGAUUCAAAACAGAAGAAUUUGGCUUCAAACAAGUCUUUCUACGUCAUGACAUUGCCAACAAGAUCAAAGAAAUGAAUGAAGAGCUACAUGAUAUUGCUACUCAAAAAGACAUGUUUAAUCUUGUUAAGAGUGGCAAUAACAGUAGUGAAAGACCAAGGCGUGUACAGAGUACCUCCUUGAUUGAUGAGGAAGAGAUUUGUGGUAGAGUUGGUGAGAAGAAUGAACUCAUAAGCAAGCUGUUGUGUGAGAGUAGCGAGCAACAAAAAGGCCUCCAUAUCAUCUCAAUUGUUGGUAUGGGAGGCAUAGGGAAAACUACUCUUGCACAACUAGCUUGUAAUCAUGACGAGGUGAAGAGAAAGUUCGACAAAAUUCUGUGGGUGUGUGUAUCAGAAACUUUUGAGGAGUUUAGGGUUGCCAAAGCAAUCGUUGAAGCUUUGGAUGGUCGUGAAUCUCAUUUAGGUGAAUUCCAAUCUCUUCUUCAACAUAUUGAUGAAUCCAUUGCAGGGAAGACCUUUCUUCUUGUCUUAGAUGACGUGUGGGAUGGAAAUUACUUGAAAUGGGAACCAUUCUACCGUUGUCUAAAGAAUGGUCUCCAUGGAAGUAAAAUUAUAGUUACCACACGUAGUGGGUCCGUUGCAUCCAUGAUGGGAUCCAUAGAUAUUAUUCCCAUUAAGGAAUUAGCUGAAGAGGAAUGUUGGUUGUUGUUUAACAAGAUAGCAUUUUUUGGUAGGCCUAUUGAGGAACGUGAAAAAUUAGAACAAAUUGGGCAAAGAAUUGCAGGCAAGUGCAAAGGUUUACCUCUUGCAGCAAAGACAAUAGGGAGUCUCAUGCGUUCUAAACAAACUGAAGAAGAGUGGAAAAGAAUUUUAAAUAGUGAUUUAUGGAAAGUAGAAGAGAUUGAGAAAGAUGUUUUGUCCUCUUUAUUGUUGAGUUAUAAUGAUUUGCCAUCUAGAGUAAAAAGAUGUUUUUCAUAUUGUGCUGUCUUUCCAAAAGACUACAAUAUAAAAAAAGACGAACUAAUCACAUUAUGGAUGGCUCAAGGUUAUCUUAGUGCAGAAGCAGCAGAACAAGAUGAGGAGUUGGAGACUAUAGGUGAAGAGUAUUUUGGCAUCUUAGCUUCUCGCUCUUUCUUUCAAGAGUUUGAGAAAAGUUAUGAUAAUCGUAUUAUAGAGUGCAAGAUGCAUGAUAUGGUACAUGAUUUUGCCCGCUUUGUAAGUCAAAAUGAAUGUUUUUCGAUGGCAAUUAAUGGUAGUGAAGAACCAAACGCCACAAACGCUCUUGAUGAGAAGGUCCGUCAUUUAAUGUUAAUAUUUAGUAAAGCGGCUUCAUUACCUAUUUCCACUCUUAGAGUUAAAAGAAUGCGUACCCUCUUAAUUAACGAUCAUUCAUUAUUAAAUGCUGCGAUCCUAGAAGAAUUAUUUAGGGAAUUGACAAGUUUAAGGGCAUUAGAUUUUGGCGGAUCGUACCACUCAACGCGGUUGUUGACUCCGGAGGUUCCGAGAAACAUAGAAAAGCUGGUACUACCGGAGACAUUGUGUGAGUUAUAUAAUCUAGAAAAGUUAGAUAUUAGUGAUUGUUUUAAUCUUAAAGAAUUACCUGAAGGGAUUGGGAAGUUAAUAAACGUGAAGCAUUUACUAAAUAGAGGUACUAAUUCUUUAAGGUACAUGCCAGUAGGGAUUGGGAGAUUAACAGGUCUUAGGACCUUGGGUGAGUUCCACGUGAGUGCAGGAGGAGGUGUUGAUGGUAGGAAAGCAUGUAGGCUUGAAUCUCUUAAAAACUUGGAACACCUUCAAGUAUGUGGUAUAAGUAGACUGGGUGAUGUAUCAGAUGUGGGCGAGGCUAAGCGAUUAGAACUUGACAAAAAGAAAUACCUCUCCAGUUUGACCCUUUGGUUUGAUAAGGAGGAGGAAGAAGAAGGAGAAAGAAGGAAGAACGAGGACAAUCAACUUCUUCUUGAAGCCCUGCGACCACCUCUCAAUUUAAAGGAAUUAGAGAUUGAGUACUACCGAGGCAACACUGUUUUCCCCAGCUGGAUGACGUCAUUAACCAACUUGAAGAGUUUAGAUCUCUCUUCCUGCGAAAAUUGCGAGCAGCUGCCUCCUUUGGGAAAAUUGCAGUCCCUUGAAAAUCUCCACAUAUGGCGCAUGGAGAGUGUGAAGAGAGUGGGUGAUGAAUUUUUGGGGAUAGAAAGUGAUCAUCAUGGCUCAUCUUCAUCUUCAUCGGUUAUUAUUGCCUUCCCCAAAUUGAAAUCACUUUCAAUUGAGGUUCUGCGCGAAUUGGAGGAGUGGGAUUAUGGGAUUACAAGAACGGGAAACACCGUCAUCAACAUCAUGCCACGUCUUUCUUCAUUGACAAUUAAUUACUGCUCCAAAUUAAAGGCACUGCCCGACCACUUUCAUCAAACGACAACAUUGAAGGAAUUGCACAUUUGGAAGUGCAGGCUUCUGGAAGAACGUUAUUGCAAUGGGGAAGGAGAAGACUGGUCUAAGAUAUCACACAUUCCCAACCUCCAUAUUGGGCUUUGACAAGUAAUUUCUUCUCUUACUCUGAUUUGCUUUGUUGUUGUUUUUAAUCUAAUUAAGAAGCGUAAAUAGCAUUUUGAAUCAAACUCUAUAUCAGAAAUCUGCAAUACUUACUUUCUAAUAUUCUGAUUUUCAUAUCCUAUGAAUAUACGAUUUUUAAUUUGUGAGAUGGGUAACGUUACUGUAAAAGAUUAUUAAUGCAAUAUGAGUAAUUCUUUUGCAGGACAAGUGACCUACAUUUAGUUUGGCUUUGGAGUUGAAUAAUAACCUUUCGAGGUCCCGACAACCAAAAAACGAAGCUUAAUUUGCCACAGAUUGCACGUAUUGCCAUUAUUGACAAUUUUCUGCACAAGCGUGACUGAACUUAGGUUGAUGUCAAAAGAGGUAAAUUAUUGGCAUGCCUGACUAUUUUGACCAUUACAUGAUUCAUAAGUUUACAUUAAUUUUGAUUUUGAGUUGAGUGAUUAAUUUUCUAUGUUUGCUUACUUUAACUGGGUGACCAAUUUCUUGUAACUAAAUGUAUGAUGUGAUGCAGGAAGCAGGGCAGGAUAUGAAAAGAGAAGCUUAUUAGAGGAAGGAUUGCCAGUAACAGAAUCCAAAGAAAAAGAAACCAUUUCGAGGCAGCAGUUGGCAGUUGGCAGUGAAUGGAGCCCCUUGAAAAAGUUCCCAAGCCGUUGCACUGCAAUUACGAUCAUCCUCGGCCUCAGGUAAUUUCUUCUCCUGCAUUUUUGUUAUUUGCUAUCAAGUGACUAUU